rnacentral:lncRNA from 1 species
ACACUAAAGAUAUUGAUUUGCAUAAAUAAAUGGGAAUAAGAAGGUGAAAAUACAAAUGAUUUCAAACAUAAUGCACUCCAAUAUCUUAUAUUACCACACAUCGACAGCUAAAAAGUAGCCACAAUAAUUAGUACUAAAUGACAGCAAAUAGAUUAAAUGGCUAGGUGCAUUCAUACAACUAUGCAAGACCCUUACCCUUACAAAGUCUUGGCUAACAAACAUUGUUCAAGCCACAAAAGGCAUGCACCAGAACACCAGCAGAGAAGAAUACGAAACUGGUAGACAGAGGAAUUGGAGUAUAUCUAAGCAAUGCCACGAAAUUAGAAAGUAGGCCUGUACCAACCACUAAUUUUUACAAAGGUAUUGUGCCCUGUUGAGUUCCAGAUGCUGCACUGACUCUCAGUGACCAACUGAUGGCAAUUCCGCAAAACAGGGAGUAUAAGGUAGCCCAAUCAUGAACUCAUUGCAGAUAACAUGUACUUUCUGAUUAUCCAUAUCAUACGACACUGUCUUCUUCUUCUGGUUGGUAAGGAAAAUGACAUUACAAUCUGGAUGAAUUGCAAACAUCUGAUAAAAAUCACCAUCUUUGCGACAAUGCCUUCCGAACAGCUCUGAAACAUUAACAGUAUGCUUUAGGGUCCACUUUCCAGUACCAUAGUCCUCAAGAACCCAAAUAUCGAGUUCACUAUCAUCACAAUAAUCCACCUGCCACGCAUACAAGCGCCCUUGAGAUUGCCCAGUCAAAACAAUAUUAGAGCUCGUCCAGUCAACUGGCAUUUGAAUCUCCUUCCAAACUUUCCCCUCCACGUCAACUGUGGGUAUUAUUGAGUUACAAAGGGUGGCCAAAUGCAUGGUGCCAUUCAAGAAGACAUGUGUGCGUCUACUACAAUCCACAUGAGUUACGGAGGACCACUUAGUCUGCACGUAAGUCCACUGUCCAGUUUCUGAUGAGUAGAUCGCCAUUUGUCCAGGAAGGUGGUCAGCAUUGUAAGGGGUUGCAAACACCAUAAAGCGGGUUGGCACAGCGGCUUCGAAACCUAAGUAAGUCAUUGGUAUGUGUUGGUGUAUGACUAUAUUUACCUAGUUCCUUAGGGACUAAAAUAUAAAAUGUACACAUACUAUAGAUGUAUACAGAGAGAGGGACCGAGGAGAAUGGUCCAGAAAUUUCCCCAAAUCCUCUCCAUGGUUCUUCCAAUCCCUAAAACUAUUCUCUCAAAUCUUGCUUGAUUUUCAAGAUGGCAUCGGAGCAGGUUGAAAUCCACUGCGUUUCUUCUGUGAUUUGAGGUUGGCGGUGCUGUGUUGCCGUCCAGAUUCGCCAGCUUGACUACGGCGGCUAGGCGGUAAGCUUUGAAUCAUCAAGUCGCCCCUGUGUUAGUUGAUAAGAAAACGAGAAGCUAGUGAUGUCUUGCCGCAUCUAGCCGCACUGCCGCCGGUAUACAGAUUUGUUAAUCUGCAGGCGAGCUUCUUGCUGUCAUCCGCCAAUAUACGGCCACUGCCUCCUCUGCAUCUGACCAUCUGUAUGAGAAGGUGAUAAUAGCACAUGUGAUUUCCUUUGGAUUCUUGCGAUUAGUACUCACUGACUGUGAGCUCGUCAAGUCAAGCUUAUCUUUGCUUGGUGGCCGGAUUAAAAUAUUCUGCUUGUGCUGCGUUGUGUGCAUCUGAGAGCAACUCAUACUAAUACAUCUACUUGCCAUUGUGUACGAGUGUGUUGUUGGUGGAGUGCUAAAAAACAAGUCCUGUGUGACUGGGUGUUUGUUUUGUCGUGGUGAACUAUGGCAGAUCCAAGCAAGGAUAAAGCAGGGGAUUCUAGUGUGGAUAAGCUAUAUGAAAUUUUCAGCAAAAUGUUUGAGCAGCAGCAACAACUCAGAGUGGUUCCUGAAGGAAUCAAAUAUGCACUUGAGCCUAAUCCAGUAAAGCUGGUUGGACCGGGCAAUUACAUCAGCUGGGCACGACAUGCCCAGUUAAUCCUGAGUUCUCAUGGUUAUAAUGACUUGCUUAGUGCUGAUGAAGGAAAACAGCUAAGUGACACUAGUGCAAAACAGGUUAAUGACAGAGCGUUGGUCUGGUUAUUAGGAAGCAUGGAACCACCAAUUCGAGAACAAGUUGAGACUAUGACUACUGUAUCUGAAGUAUGGGCAGCUUUGGAGAAGCAGUUUGUAGGGAGAUCCAAUAAAAUGCAAGGUAAUCGUAUUAUGCAUGAAUUGACAAACCUGAAGCAAGGUGCAAAGUCUGUGACAGAGUAUGCUGGUGAGACCAAAAGACUGUACAGAGAACUGCAUUAUUAUCAUCCCUUUGAGCCCGUUGACAAACAAGACUUGGCUAUUCAUCAUACCUGGUUUGAGCCAUUUGUGAGCAAGCUCUUUCUUGAUAGCUUAAAUGAGGAAUUUGACCUUCGACGCCAACUUAUAUUCUCAAAAACUGAGUGGCUUAGUCUUGAUGAUGUUAUCUCAAGUGUGAUAGAGGAGGAGACUCGGUUGGCUCAGCCUGAGAAUGGCCUAAAGUAUACAGAUGCUCGUGCAGCCUUAUCCAUGCAAGCUCGACGUGCCCCAAAGUUUGUUGGCAAAUCAGAUAAAAACAAACUUUUCUGCAACCAUUGUAAAAGGACUGGACACAUAAAGGAUGCAUGCUUUGAGCUGCAUGGCUUUCCAACUUGGUGGGAAAAAGGAAAGUCUCGGCCAGGGGGAGUUCAUGGAGCAAACAAAAAACAAGCUGACCUCACUACAUCCAAGGGGGAGCUACCAGUGGUCGAUGUGCGAGCUCUUGAGGAUUUUACUUCCAAGCUUAGACUCUCAGAAGGCUCGUCUACUUCCCAAGAUUCCUCUAAAGCUGAAUCUAGUUUCUAUAUCAAUUCACACCAAGGUAUGAAACCUCACCAGACCCACACUUAUACAACACAAUCAAACCCUUGGGUUAUUGAUACAGGAGCUACUAACCACAUGACAGGAGCCUCAAAUUUGUUCACUUCUUACACACCUUGUUCAGGUAAGGACAACGUACGUGUAGCUGAUGGAUCCAUGGCACCUAUUGUAGGACAUGGAUCCGUUAGGUGCACUAAGACAUUGUCCUUAUCCCCGAUCCUACAUGUUCCUAAAUUUCCAAUCAACCUCUUAUCUGUUAGCUCUAUUACUAAAUCCCUUAACUGUAGAGGUUGGUUUGAUCCUACCUGUUGUGCUUUUCAGGAGCUAGCGACAGGGAGACUGUUGGGGACUGGGACCGUGCAUGAUGGACUCUACUAUCUUGAUGAAGGAAGUGAUGAAGUUGCUUUUGCAUCAUGCUUGUCUCCUAGCCAAGAACUGCUACUCCAUCAUCGCAGGCUUGGCCAUCUAUCUUUUGCUGCAUUAUUACGUAUUUACCCCUCUCUUUUCAAGUUGUGUCCCAAGGAGCUCCUUGUAUGUGAUGCUUGUGAGUUAGCUAAACAUACAAGGGGUUCCUAUCCUAGUAUAGGUUUAAGAAGUGCCAAACCAUUUGAAAUGAUUCACUCGGAUGUUUGGGGACCCUGUGAGGUUCGUUCCAUUUCUGGGCACCGAUGGUUUGUGACUUUUAUUGAUUGCUUUAGUCGUUACACUUGGCUUUAUCUCUUGAAGCAUAAGAGUGAUGUGUUCUUGGUUUUUAAGGAUUUAUGUGCUCUCAUUAAAAAUCAACAUGGGGCAACUAUUAAAACCUUGCGUUCAGACAAUGGUACUGAAUAUAUCAACAACGAGUUUGGACAGUUCCUUGCCUCAAAUGGCAUUGAACAUCAAACUACCUGUGUUGAUACUCCGGAACAAAAUGGUGUUGAAGAGCGUAAAAAUAGACAUUUGCUUGAGGUUGCACGCUCACUUAUGUUUACAAUGAAUGUGCCUAAAUUUCUUUGGGGGGAAGCAAUAAAAACCGUGGCAUAUUUGAUAAACCAUAUGCCUCUUCGGGUUCUUGGUCACAAGACUCCCGCUGAGUGUCUCUUGAAUUCUAAUGACUUUGUAGUUCCUCCAAAGGUCUUUGGGUGUGUGUGCUUUGUGCAUGAUUAUAGGAACUCUGUUGGAAAAUUAGAUCCCCGUGCUCUCAAAUGUGUUUUCAUGGGUUAUUCCUCCUCUCAAAAGGGUUAUAGAUGUUGGUGCCCUUCAGAGCGCCGGUUUUUUGUGAGCAUGGAUGUGACGUUCCGUGAGCAUGAACCAUAUUAUGGCUCAACAAGUGACACUGACAUUGCAUUAUCCCCACGUGAAGUGCAACAAGAAGGGGAGAGUAGUAAUAUAGACUCUCCAUUAAGCCCCAUUCUUGUUUCCACUUCGAGUGGUUUACCCAUUCUAGAUAAUGCUGAAAAUCAGGGGGAGGAGACAAAUAAUGAUGGGUGCAAUAAUGGUUCUGGUCAUGGAGACACAGAAAAUGCAAUAGAAAAUUCUUCAUUUCCUUCACAAGACGGUGAGCUUCACAUGCAUGAGGACCCAUGUACUAACACUAACCCAUGUAGUUCCGCCACUCCUAUUAGCACCGCGGGGCAGAGUGAGAAUCAAUUAUCUACCCUUGCUCCUGAAAAUAAUCUACCGAUUGCUUUGCGAAAACCUACUAGAAAUCGAAACAUUCCAGGACACCUCAAAGAUUAUCAACAUGAUAUUGCCAAUUUAAUUUCCUAUGAAUAUUGUAAUCCACCCUUCAAAAGCUUUAUUGCCUCUUUAGACUCUGUGUCCAUACCAUCUAAUUGGAAAAUAGCUAUAGAGGAUCCAAAAUGGAAGGAAGCAAUGUUUGAUGAGAUGAAAGCCUUGGAGAAGAAUGAGACUUGGGAGCUCGUGGAUCUACCACCAGGUAAGCAACCUGUAGGUUGUAAGUGGGUUUUCACUAUUAAGCAGACCCCCGAGGGAAAGGUGGAGAGGUACAAAGCCCGUCUUGUGGCGAAGGGCUACACACAAACAUAUGGAAUCGACUAUGAAGAGACCUUUGCACCGGUGGCAAAGAUGAAUUCAGUAAGGACACUUAUGUCAUGUGCUGUAAACCUUGAUUGGGAUAUUUACCAGAUGGAUGUGAAGAAUGCUUUCCUUCAUGGUGAUCUCCAAGAAGAAGUAUACAUGCAUAUACCUCCUGGGUUUGAGUCCAGUCAAACCGGUGGAAAGGUGUUGCGCCUACAUCAUUCUCUAUACGGUUUAAAGCAGUCACCACGAGCUUGGUUUGACCGGUUCAGACAAUCCAUGCUAAAAAGGGGCUAUGUUCAAAGCAAUGCUGACCAUACACUAUUCUACAAGCAUAGUAAUAGCAAGGUUGCAAUACUGAUAGUGUAUGUCGAUGACAUUGUGAUUACCGGAGAUGAUUCCACUGAAGUUGCAAAUCUGAAACAUCAUCUUGCACAGGAAUUUGAAGUGAAGGACUUGGGAAAACUGAGAUAUUUUCUUGGUAUAGAGGUCUCACGGGGGUCAAAGGGCAUUUUUCUCUCACAACGGAAAUAUAUCUUGGAUUUGCUCAAGGAAACAGGUAUGCUUGGUUGUCGACCUGCAGCUACACCUAUUGAGCAAAAUCAUCGUUUAAGUAGUGAUGCAGGUACACCCGUGGAUCAAGAGCGCUAUCAGAGACUUGUUGGAAGGUUAAUAUAUUUAUCUCAUACUCGUCCAGAUAUUGCUUUUGCUAUGAGUGUAGUUAGCCAGUAUAUGCAUGACCCAAAAUCAGCUCAUAUGGAAGCUGUAAACAGGAUCCUAAGGUAUCUUAAAGGGUGCCCAGGAAGAGGCCUUUUAUAUACCAGACAAGGAGACUUACAAGUUGAGUGCUAUACUGACGCUGAUUGGGCUGGUUCCCUAGAUGACCGACGCUCAACAUCUGGUUAUUAUGCAUUUGUAGGAGGAAACCUAGUUUCUUGGCGAAGUAAAAAGCAAGGUGUAGUGGCUCGAUCUACUGCAGAGGCUGAGUUUAGAUCUAUGGCUCACGGCAUAUGUGAGUUACUAUGGAUACAUAUCCUCCUAGCAGAGCUGCGGCUGUACAGGUGCAAGCCUCUGAUGUUGUACUGUGACAACAAAGCUGCCAUUGACAUUGCAAAUAACCCUGUUCAGCAUGAUCGAACCAAGCACAUAGAAAUUGAUCGUCAUUUUAUUAAGGAGAAGCUUGAUAGAGGGAUAGUUUGCCUACCGUAUGUAACCUCAGCUAGUCAGGUAGCAGAUGUCCUUACAAAAGGACUCCCCGAAAAAACAUUCUCCAUGUUUUGUAGCAAGAUCGGUUUGUAUGAUAUAUUUGCCCCAUCUUGAGGGGGAGUGUUGGUGUAUGACUAUAUUUACCUAGUUCCUUAGGGACUAAAAUGUAAAAUGUACACAUACUAUAGAUGUAUACAGAGAGAGGGACCGAGGAGAAUGGUCCAGAAAUUUCCCCAAAUCCUCUCCAUGGUUCUUCCAAUCCCUAAAACUAUUCUCUCAAAUCUUGCUUGAUUUUCAAGAGUAUGCCCUUCUUCCACGGGUGGCUGCACUCUUGAGCCGGAAAUACUACAGGAGGCAGCACAGUCCACUCUUGAGUCGCGGGAUUGCACACAACAUAAUCAUUUUCACACACGGAACACGAAUUCCAGCAGCUGCAAAGGAGAAGACCUUGGCACAAUUGUUCGACAUGAACGUUUUCGUACCUCUGCCGCAAGAAAGGGAGAGAAGGGUCGACCAGAGGCAGACCUCUCCCGGACAAAUUGCGGAAUUUGAGGACACCGGCGUUCUUGUAGAAGAAGCCGGAGAGGGUCUGUGGCGACCUCUUGAGGAUGUCACGGGCGAUGCAGAGGGCGAGCCACGGCUUGGACACACACUUGAAGCGGCAGAGAGACCUGUAGGGCACUCGCGAAAGGAUCUCGACAAGGGCGCCCUCGGGGAGGCUCGGCACGAUCUGCUGCUCUUGCUCCAGCUUCUGCUUCUUCUCCUGUCAAUGAUACAAAUGGUUCGUUCAGGUUCCCGAUUCCUUUCCUUUCUUGGAUCGAAGAUGGGGGCACACUAGAAGAUUGGAAGGCCUUGUAAAAAAAGAAGAGGGACUUGGAGCCGCCGCCCGCCGCGGGAGCCGCCCUUCGCUCCGGGAGCCGCCGCAGGUCACCGUCCAUCGUGCCCUUCGCCGCGGGAGAGCCGGAGCCGCCGCGAGCGUGAGCAACCGCCCGCCCAUCCUCUCCCGCCUCCCGCCCAUCCUCGCCUUCCUCCCGCCGCCCGCCGGUCCUCUGCCGCCGCCGCUGCCAGCCGGUCCNNNNNNNNNNNNNNNNNNNNNNNNNNNNNNNNNNNNNNNNNNNNNNNNNNNNNNNNNNNNNNNNNNNNNNNNNNNNNNNNNNNNNNNNNNNNNNNNNNNNNNNNNNNNNNNNNNNNNNNNNNNNNNNNNNNNNNNNNNNNNNNNNNNNNNNNNNNNNNNNNNNNNNNNNNNNNNNNNNNNNNNNNNNNNNNNNNNNNNNNNNNNNNNNNNNNNNNNNNNNNNNNNNNNNNNNNNNNNNNNNNNNNNNNNNNNNNNNNNNNNNNNNNNNNNNNNNNNNNNNNNNNNNNNNNNNNNNNNNNNNNNNNNNNNNNNNNNNNNNNNNNNNNNNNNNNNNNNNNNNNNNNNNNNNNNNNNNNNNNNNNNNNNNNNNNNNNNNNNNNNNNNNNNNNNNNNNNNNNNNNNNNNNNNNGCCCAUCCUUGCCUUCCUCCCGCCGCCCGCCGGUCCUCUGCCGCCGCCGCUGCCAGCCGGUCCUCUUCUCCGCCGCCGCGAGCAUGAGCAGCCGCCCGCCCAUCCUUUUAUUGUGAUGAACCAUUUCUUUUGCAGGUGAUUAGUGUUUCAGUUCUGUAUCAUUCAGAUGUUUUGGUACAUUCAGUUUUUAAUUUCUUGUGGAAUUAACUUUGCAUCUCUCACCUUUUUUGCUCGUGGAGAGAUUAGAUUAUAAAUAUGAAUCUGUGAUGUUCUAAGAAUCUGCGUUGUGUUCCAAUUGUCUCAUCUUUCAAAUAUCAUUUUUACAGGACAAAGAUAUACUUCUAAAAACAUUGGAUGGUGUUCGAAGAUAUUAUGCACACGGCAAAGGCCUUCUGCAACUUGACUUUAUCAAGGUACAUGUCAGUUUUAUCAUUUGUGCUUUCCUGGAUUGAACUUGUUGUAUUCAGUUUGAACAUUUUGCAGUGGAAUAGUAACCCCGAGGAAGUUUUAAAAUGGAUUAAAGAGUCAACUAGAUGGUCUAACGAGCUGGAUGAUUAUGAGCUACAACUUGGUUAAAGGUUUCUGUUACCAUUUUUUUCUUAUUCUGAAGACAACUGCCAAUUUAUUCAAGAUAUAUAGUUAUUCUCUUUUAACAUGAUCAUAUGAAACUUUUAAAGAGACAUAUGUGUGAAUUGGACACAACUUCCACAAGCAACUGACACACAUGAGUUUCUGACCUCUCCCUGGCGCAGCCCUACCUCUCUUUCUCCUCAUAUCUCGUGGUGCUUGGCGAAGCCCUGCUGGAGUACCACGCUCCUCCACCACCACCACGCUAUUGUGCUACUGCUGGAUGGAGUCUUCCUCAACCUCUCCCUCUCUCCUUGCUGGAUCAAGGCAUGGGAGACGUCAUCGGGCUGUACGUGUGUUGAACGCGGAGGUGCCAUCCGUUCGGCACUAGGAUCUCCGGUGAUUUGGAUCACGACGAGUACGACUCCAUCAACCCCGUUCUCUUGAACGCUUCCGCUUAGCGAUCUACAAGGGUAUGUAGAUGCACUCUCCUUCCCCUCGUUGCUGGUUUCUCCAUAGAUAGAUCUUAGUGACACAUAGAAAAAUUUUGAAUUUCUGCUACGUUCCCCAACAGUUUGGGGGUUAAAGACUUAUACAGACAAAACAUCAGUCUCCUCACCAAAUGGUGGUGGAAGCUGGAAACCCAACAAGGCCUUUGGCAGGAGAUUAUCCGUGCUAAAUACUUCAGAAAUGACACGGUUCCCUCGGUGAAGAGUAAAUUUGGGGAUUCCCCCGUUUGGAAAGCUAUUAUGAAAGUAAAGGAAAUUUAUUUGGCAGGUAGAGAGGUGAUUUUAAACUCUGGGAAUAUAGCCAGAGUCUGGAAUGACCCCAUUAGGGGUGCUGCUGCCUUGCGUGUUAAAUUUCCGAUCUUGUUCAGUAUCUGUAAUUAUCAGGAGAUUACUGUUGUUGAAUUCAAAAAGUUUGAGGGGGUGAUCUUUUUAGAAGGAACCUGCAUCCACCUCUUGUGGAUCAGUGGAAUGAUCUAGUUAAGGUGGUGAACUCUUGGCAAUUGUCCGAUGAGACGGACUAUAUUACCUGGAGAUUGGGAAAAAAGAAAGGUAAAUUCUCGACCAAAUCGGUCUAUACCUAUUUGGAAAGAACCCUGGCGGGGUGUGAUUUCAGAUGGAUAUGGAAAGCAAAAAUCCCUCUUAAGAUUCAAAUCUUUCUCUGGCAAUUGUUCCAAGAUGCGGUUUUGACUCGAGAAGUCAUGAAAAAGAGAAAAUGGGCAGGAAAUCCCAAAUGCUCAUUCUGCAAUGAGGUGGAAACCUCACAGCAUCUUUUUUUACUUGUCCUGUUGCUCGGGUGGCUUGGAGGACGGUUGGGUGUGUGUUUGGCACAUCGUUGUGUCCGAACAAUCUUUGGAAGUUUUUCUCAUGGUGUUACAUUUUCCUUCCCGAUGGGGCCAAGUUUUAUACGUUUGGUUUGGCAGCUAUUUGCUGGCAGUUUGGAUCAGUCGCAAUCAGGCUACCUUUGAACAUAAAUCUCUUAAAAGUCCUUUAAAUGUGGUUUAUGCUGCUUGUGGUUUUUUGACAUACUGGGCAGGUUUGAUGGCUGGUGAGGAUCGAGAGUCCAUGGAGCGCGGAGCCAAGAUGCUGAGAUCGAAUGCCUCGACGAUGAUGAGGAUUUGUGCACCUCCAUCGACGAAGAACUGAUUCUACUCCACCAAGGCAAAAAAAGCUUCGAGACUGUGUUUACCCGUUUGGUGGAUCGCACUCCUGCACGAGUGUCUUUUGCUCUCUUGUGUUUUGCCUACGAGCAGGGCGUUGUAGUACUGUUAUGAUUCCUGUUGGAGUUUGCCUUGAUCUGGUUAGGUCUAGUGGUUUGCGUGAUGCUAGGUGUCACUGGGUUUUCGCCCCGUGAUGGGCUACUCGAUGACGAGUGCUCAUAGUGGGUUUCCCAGUGAUGCUUUGAUAUAGCCUUACCCCUUUCUUACUUCCUUAUACUGUAGUCGUUUAUGCUGGGUCUGUGUUCGUUGAACUUUAAACUUUGUAUUUCCGUUAUGCAAUUAAUGGAAAGGGGUUAUGGCCCGGGUCAAAAAAAUACAAGCGUCCUUGAGACUGCCCAACAUCACAGAUUCGUCCUUGAGAGUGCCCAACAUCACAGGUGUUUGGCAUUUGAAUCUCCCUCCAAACUUUCCCCUCCACGUCGACUAUGGCUAUUCUCUUAUCAAGGGUAGGCAGAUGGAUAGUGCCAUUCAGGAAGACCUGUGUGUAUAUACCAUGAUUCACGAGAGGAUCUCUUGUCCACUUACUUUGCACAUGAGUCCACCCUCCAGUUUCUGUCGAGUAGAUUGACACUUUUCCGGAAUCGUUCAUACCAACCAUCUAGCUCUCGGGAGCAAACACCACAAAGCGGGAUGGAAUAGCAGGGUCGAAACCUAGGAAAGGGAUGGGAUCGGGACCUGGAAAUCCGACAGGAGGCAGCACAGUCCACUCUUGGGUAGCAGGAUUGCAGACAACAUAAUAGGAUUCGUCUUGCAGAUUAUCCGAGCAGCUGCACAGGAGAAGGCCGCCGCAGACGUGUUGGACAGAAAUGUGGCGGUACCUUUGGCGCAAGAAAGGGAGAGAGGGGUCGACAAGUGGCGGACCUCUCCCAUUCAAAUUGCGGAAAUUGAGGACACGGGCGUUCUUGUAGAAGAAGCCGGAGAGGGUCUGUGGCGACCUCUUGCGGAUGUUCGGGGCGGAGCAGAGGGCGAGGCACGGCUUGGACACGCACUUGAAGCGGCAGAGCGACCUGUAGGGCACACGCGAAAGGAUCUCGACGAGGGCGCCCUCGGGGAGGCUCGGCACGAUCUGCUGCUCUUGCUCCAGCUUCUGCACCUGCUUCUUCUUUACAUCCUGUAAAUGAUGGAGAGGACGGCUCAUUUAGGCUCCCGAUCCCCUUUCUUGGAUCGAUGACAAUUGACGGGGCCAGUCGAGGAUCUUGUUCUAAAAGAGAAAGAACAUUGCAGAAGCAUGGAGCAAACCUCGGAAGCCACCGGGACAAUGGCGGGGAGCGGCGGCGUAGAAUGGGGCAGAGCGUCUUCGUCGCGACGGACGGUGACCGGCGGGUGGCUCUGCACCGUGCAGCCGUGCUCGCCCCCUCCUUCUCCUCCUGGCGGCAUGACCUCCUCUCCAGCUGGCGCUAGGGUUCGUGAAAUCGUGAUGGGGCGUGACUGCGAGUGGAGUGGAGUGGCCCCGUUGAUAAUGGGCUCUCCGAUUUUUUUUCUUUAUUAGCCGUGGUUCUAAAGGCGGCCCAAAUGAUUCUGAUGAUUUGUUGGACCUCUCCACUGAAUAGUCGAACAAUUUUCUUGGUUGGUUUGUUAAUUUACGAGCCGAUGAUAAAAAAAAGAUUUGCAUCAGCAGAAUGUGCAUGUACUAGAUAUGUUUUGAAUUACAACUUGUUGGCACCUAUUAGUCUUGCCUAGCUUUGUAGAAGAAGAUAUCAAUAUUCAUACUAUGAAAUCAAUAUUAUGAGAUGCAUGAUGAAAUUAAUUUUCAUAAUAUAUAACUUUAGUAUUGUGAUGUCGAUAUUUUUUUACUAAAAAGUUGGUCAAACUUUACAACGCUUGAUUUUGACCAAAUCUUAUAUGCAGACUAAAAAGAAACGGAGGGAGUAAUUAAACUCAUUAAGCUACGCGUGAAGGGCGACCAACCAGCUAUGCCACGUGGCGCAAACUGGUUGGGCACGGUGAGAAACUUUUGAAUUUUUUUAGAUGAAGAUGUGGAUUAUUUUUUAAAAUGUAUUUUUUCUUUUUAGAUGGAGGUGAGGAGCUCUGGUAUUUUUUAAAUGGAGGGUUGUGCAAAGUGGCACUCGCUAGUUGGCUGCGGUGAUAUUUUUUCCUUUUUACUUUUUUUAGAUGAAGGUGAAGAUUUUCUUUUGAGAUGAUAGGCCUUGCACCGUGUGCCUCAUUCUUUCAAGACUUUAUUGAUGCUUAAUGCUCAUCCAUACAUUAGUCUUCUCAAGUGCAUUGCCUUCACUCUCACACAUCAUUUUGGUUGAGCCCAUUCUUAAGUUGCCUCUUUCACUUGUUGCUCAACCAUGUGUUAGUCGCAAGUACUAGGCUUAGUUUCCUAUAUGCUCACUUGCACUUGUUGUUAGUUUCUAUUGAUUUUGGGGGAGCUAUGAUCCUAUUUUGUGCACUUUGUAUCCAAAUACAAAUCUUCUUAUGCGUGCACAAAUCAUGGGGAGCUUCUCUAGUUUCUCUAGAACACUCUGUUAUUCUUGUGGCACGUAGGAUCUUUGGUCUAGUUGGUUCAAUUGGUAUCUUUUGAUUGCUUGCUUCAAUUGGUACCUUUCGAUUGCUUGAUUGCUUGUGUCUCUCUUUGUUAUGUCUUUGUGGCAUAUCUUUCUUUUGCAAUCUUUGGGCCUCAAUAUAGUUUGUCUUCCUCCAAGUAUUUACCGUUGGAUAUGUGUAUUGCAUUCCAGUCUCUUGUUGAGAAAUACACAACUUAUGGAGGAACUCAAUCUAUAUUGGCCUUCUAAGCUUUUCGCCCAUUUUGGCAAUCGAUGCCAAUGGGGGAGAAGUUUCAGAGAGUUUUGUGGAGUUUUCAGAGAGUUUUGUGGAGAAGACUUUAGAGUUUUCUCCUUGCUUUGGUUUUGUUCCUAAGCAUUUGCAUCUCAUACGCAUGCAUUAUUGGUUGUUGCAUUGCAUGGUGAUGCAUAAUUCCUUGUAUUAAACUCUCUUGAAAGUGAUUGUCAUCAAUUACCAAAAUGGGGGAGAUUGAAAGAACAUGCGGUGCCCCCAUGUUUGGUUUUGGUAAUUGAUGACAAUCUCUAUGGACUAAUGGUUGCCUUGAGUUAUAUUUGAAGGUUUUGUCCAUAGGCUUUUCUUGGAGUACAUGUGUUGGUUUCAAGGAGAGUUUGUGUCGACCAAGGUGUUAUUCAAGGAAUUAUUCAAAGAUUGGUCAUUUGAGAGUUGAGCUUAUUGAAAGCAUGUCUUGAAGAAGAAGAUUGUGUGAUCAUUCAUGUUUACUUUCAAGACAUUAUCCAAACGAGGAGAGUUGGAAAGAUUUAAGGUUGAUCAAGACUAAGUCAAGAGUGAAUCAAGUUGAUCAACUCACAAAGCGUAGAAGAUGUACCAAGAGGGAUCAAGUGAUCCCAUGGUUUGGUAAGCAUUGUCCAUUGCGCUUUGUGUACUAACCCAUGGUCUAUGUGAGAGUUCUACAUGGGGUUAGGUACGUGUUCAUGGGCUUGUGUCAAGAGGAAGAUAUCACUCAACCCAUGGAGAGGAUGACAUCAUGUGGUGAUCGUCAUCAAGAUUGUCGUGUGCAAGUUCAAGUGGAUCAUCGCGAAGAGAUCAAGUGCUUGAAGCUUGCCGGCCAUUGUGGUGACAAUGGACUUGUGAAGAUGUGCCGAAGAGUGGCUCGCCCAUAGUGGUCUAUGGGGGAGCAAUCAUCUAGUCUUCAUCGUGCCAACGCAAUAAAGUAAGGUGGUCCAAUUUGAGGGAGUCAAGAUCGUCAUCAUCUAGUUCAAGUGGACCAUGUGUAAAGCAAAGGUUUGCUCUUGAUAGGUUUUCUAUUUUACUGGUCUCAUGGUGGUAGUUUGGAGACUGGGUUAUAGGAUCGUUUGCCGUACUAUCAAGGGGGGCUCUCAAGUUGGUAGCUUGAUCGUAUCGUUAGUAGAGAGCUCAAACCAUUGCAUCCUUGCAUCAUCUUUCCUGGUUCUUGUUUGGUUCUCUUUGUGAGUCUUAGAGCUUAUGGUCAUCUUGAUGACAAGCUUGAGUUCAUCGAAAACGGAGUUCGCAUGCAUCUUCUAUGAUGUUUUCGAUGUUGGAGGUUUUGCCGAUUCUUCUCGGUUGGAGGUUUCACUCCUCUUUUUGUUUGUCGCUGUUUUGAUGCUACUCGUCGUCUUGUUUCCAACAAGCUUGAGUUUGCUCAAUUCGGAGCUCAUAUGCAGAAGUUACGGUAGUUCUUGUUUUCUUGAGUGUGGUUUUUGUCAGGGUCCCAGCGGUAGUACCGUGGUACCCAGCGGUAGUACCGCUGAGGGGUCACAAGCGGCAGUACCGCUCCGCAGCGGUAGUACCGACGGUGACUCCGCAGCAGUACUACCGCUGGCUUACCAGGUCCCUACCGCGUCGAUUCGAGGGGUCUUUUUUUGUGUCGGAUUGUGCGGUACCUCGCUGCAGCAGUACCGCUCCUUAGCGGCAGUACCGCCCUUCCGCCGCGGUAGUACCGCCCGGUUCCUCUUUCCCUUUACCCUUCGUUCUGCGCGGCAGUACCGCCGAAGGGAGCGGUAGUACCGCUUAACCCAGCGGUAGUACCGCUGUCUCCUGCGGUACUACCGCCCCAAGGUUCAUGUUUUGUUGCUCCUUUUCCCUGUUUCUUCCACCUAAGCGGUAGUACCGCUCGUGAAGCGGUAGUACCAUUCGUGUGCGGGCUGAGCACAUAACGGUUGGAUUUUCCCCCUCCUAUAAAAGGGGGUCUUCUUCCCCAAUGAACCUUAUCCUUUGAGCUCGUGUUCUUCCCCCAUUGUUGACCUUCUUCGAGCUUGCUAACUCUCAAUCCCUCCAUGGAUUCUUGCUAGUUUUUGAGGGAAAAGAGAGAGGAGAUCUAAAUCCACAUUUCCACCAAUCACUUUCUCCUCUAUGUGAGGGGAACCCCUUGGAUCUAGAUCUUGGAGUUCUUGGUGUUCUCCUUCUUGUUCUUCCUCUCAUUUUCCCUAGCAUUAGUUGCUUCAGUGGGAUUUGAGAGAGAAGGACUUGGGCACUCAGUGUGCCCUUGCCAUUGCAUUUGAUGCAUCGAUUUGAGUUCUCCACGGUGAUACGUGGAAGUGAAGGUUGAGAAGCUUAUUACUCUUGGGUGUUUGGGCACCCUAGAGCUUGUUCCUCUUGGGUGCCUUGGCGCCCUAGACGGUUGGUGUUGUUCGGAGCUCAAUCAUUGUGGUGAAAAGCUUCGGGCAAGCAUCGGAGUCUCCAAUUAGGUUGUGGAGAUCGCCCCGAGCAAUUUGACGGGUACCGGUGACCGCCCCCAAGGGUUGCCAAAGUGUACGGGUUCAGUGACCGCCCCCAAGGGUUGCCAUUUGUACGGGUUCGGUGACCGCCCUCAAGGGUCCCUUAGUGGAAUCACGGCAUCUUGCAUUGUGCGAGGGCGUGAGGAGAUUACGGUGGCCCUAGUGGCUUCUUGGGGAGCAUUGUGCCUCCACACCGCUCCAAACGGAGAUUAGCAUCCGCAAGGGUGUGAACUUCAGGGUACAUCGCCGUCUCCGCGUGCCUCGGUUAUCUCUUACCCGAGCCCCUUUACUUAUGCACUUUACUUUAUGAUAGCCAUAUUGUUUCUUGUCAUAUAUCUUGCUAUCACAUAGUUGUUUAUCUUGCUUAGCAUAAGUUGUUGGUGCACAUAGGUGAUCCUAGUUGUUUUAGGUUUUGUGCUUGACAAAUUAACCGCUAGGCUUAUUCCGCAUUUGUUAAAGCCUAAACCAUAAUUAUUUUAAAACGCCUAUUCACCCCCGCCCCCUCUAGGCGGCAUCGACGAUCUUUCAAUGUGCUCCCUUCGGUCCUUUUUACUCUGCAUAUUAGAAUUCUCUAAAGUUAAACUUCACAAAGUUUGACUGUAUUUAUAUGAAAAAAUAUCAAUAUCUGCCAUGCUAAAGUUAUAUAAUAUAAAAUUUUAAGUCAUGACACAUCUAGUGGUAUUGAUUUCAGAUUGUGAAUGUUGACACUUUUUUUUACAAAGCUGGUCAAAUUUUAUGAGGCUUGACUUUGGUCAAAUCUUAUAUGCGAAUUAAAAAGGACCGGGGGAAGUACAAGAGUGGGCUAUGAGCCUAAUGCAUGGAGUUGGCCUCUUGCUAAGUUUUCUCGGUUACUUCGGUACUUCGGGUACUCGAUUUAAAACUGAAGUGACCGAUGUAAUUUCGGUUUUACAAAGUUGCUGACCGAAUUUAGUAACGAUUUUUUCGGUUUUGGUUCAUUCGGCUUCGGUCUUGGUUUUUCCGGUUCGGUAAUUUGGUCUUCGGUUAAAAUGCCCACCCCUAGCUGCCAGUGAGAGCGUGUACUUCGUGAUAACAGGCCCUUGGAUGGAUUAGUACUAUCAGCAGGUGGGAAUCUAAAAAUGGCCCAAUGGAUCAUGAUAGUUCCUCAACCCUCUUUCCUUGUUGCCCGAGAAAAAUAAACUCCCCUGACUUUUUUACAGCGCAAAAGAGCUUUGCAUCAGGAGAAUGUACAUAGCGGUUUUUGUAUGUGUUGGUACUAACAUAUUCUGAAGCAAUUUGCAAGAUACUCCAUACUAACAUUGAUGAAGGAGUAAAAAUACUCCUACAAAUUGUGCCUCAGGUAGCAAGAAAGAAUACUCCAUACUAACAUGUAUGGCGCCGGAAGCCAUACGGUACACGCCGGCUCAAUCAAGAAAGAAGCAAGCCGUCAGCGCUAACCAAGCCUGCCUCCAACUCCUGGCCUCAUCGAUGAUUCCACCAUGAAUUUGUGAAACGGAGCUGGCCACUACCAAAAACAACCUCCUCCGAACGGAAUAUUUUUCCCUUUGGAAAACAAAUCAAAUAACUCCAUUCAGACGCACCUGGUGCAGCACGCAACCUUCUUUCAGCACGCAACCUUCUUUCAACCUUCGAUCGAGUUCACAUCCACUCCCCCUUUCCAAGCUUUACUCUUUCUUUACUUGUCGCCGAACCAUAUAACACAUGCAUGUCAGCUCUUAAUUAAGCCUCCAACAUCGACCGACCAAGCAUUAAGUGCUGACAGUUAUAUAUAUAUAUAUAUAUAUAUAUAUCGAUGACACAUGUACUACAUGACAUCAUACUACGCAGUAGUUAUCUGAAUUUUUCUGGAUGUAUCACUAUAACAUAGUGUAAGUGGGUGACAUGCACUACUAGGGAAAACCUAGUGGUAGCGCGGGUUUUGAGACUAUCAGCAGCGCGGCUACCCGCGCUACUACUACAGCGCUACAAUUAACAGUUAGUAGUAGCGCGGUCUAUACCCGCGCUACUACUAUUGACUAUAUCAGCGUCGUUUUUCUGGAACGCGCUACUGUUAAGUAGCUGCAGCGCUUUCCUAUACCCGCGCUAGUGCUGUAUCUUUCAUCAUUUUUCUUCCUACCCCGUUUGAAUAAACUGCAAUUUUACAUAUACCAGAUAACAAUAUCAUUAAACGCAAUACCAUAUAGUCAUAUAAUAGGUAUACAAUAUCGUAAAGCAUUAUAGGUACUAGGUAGUACUAGAUAACAAUUUCAUAUAUAGUCAACAUGCAUUCUCAAGCAGUACUAGGUAGUCUUAUACAGCCACACAAAUAUAGCAGUUUUACUAGGUAUAUAUAGUCAUACAGCCACACACACAUAUAUAGUUCUAGAUGAUAUCGACGACGAUCAUCAUCCUCAAGCCUGGGCGGUGGGUGUUCCUAAUAGUAAUUAGGAUGGCCUGUCCAACACGAAGAUUCUUGCCAACGAGGAAUCUCUUCCACCCAACCGAGCUUAAAUGUGUGCGACCGUCCAUGUCCAGGCCGUAAGUACAGGUGGUGACGGAGCCCCUUGCGGUAAGGCGUAGUCCAGUUGAGUCUUCUUCAUCAGACUCGAUACCACAACUCACAGAUAGGCUCUUUGGCAAUUUCUGAAUAAGAAAACCAUAUCAGUUAAUAAGUAGCCUCGCACAUACUCUGGCAAAUAUAUUUCUACUAAGUAUAGAUUUCUACAUUAUCAAAAGACACAGUACUACACAUUUCUACUAAGCAUGAAUUCUACUAAUAAGUAUAUAUGAAUUAUCUACACUAUUAAUAGUUUCUUCGAUUCUACACUAAUAAACAUGUGAUCGGACUCUACACUAAAGCAUAUCAUCAACUUGAUUCCACACAACAUAUCAUUUGACUCUACACUAAGCAUAUCAUCGGAUUCACUAAGAAUAUCAUCGGAUAUUUUGCAUUUGUAAGUAUAAUAAUAAAGCAUAUAUAUAUCAUCACAUUACUACAGUUAGUAUAACAUACCAUAUCAUGCCGAUCGACCAUGGUACUUGUCAGGCGGAUCACGAAUGGCACCCCGACAAAGUCAUCACGUGGCGGAAUUAUGUCCCAUAGGUUGCACACCUCCUUCUUGCUCAGCCUCAUUCUUUGCUCAGCUUCAUGAAGUGGUUCCUCAUCAUCCUCCACCUUGUUGAUAUAAAUGACAACCAGCUUGGGUCUUUUUGCUCUGAAGAAGAAGCUGAUCAAUGCACCACCAGUAACACGCAUGCGUGCGAGGAAAUGUGCCCAUCUAUCUCCUCCAAUCUGCGACAUAUUGCAUCCUUUCUCGACCUCCAUAGUGUAGGGCCCUCCAGGAGCCUCAAAGGUCACAGUGUCUCCUGUCAGCUUGUUGAAUUUCAACCUCACAUUGCAUGAGACGAUCUGUGUACAAAAAGCAAAAUGACACAAUGCAUUAAUGCCAACACUAAAAACAAAAUAGUUGUUACAUUUCAUAUAAUUUCUUACUGCCGCAUGACGAAAACUCGGCUGGAAGUAGAUGCCGAACAACUUGCCAGUUGUAAGGCUACUGGCGCACCUUGACUUGCACAGUCGACAUGGUGGUGGUGGUCGCGCCAUUUUCCUAAAGCAGUAUUAGCAAAGAUGAACGAUCCACUUCACAGGAAAGGAAAACAAUAACAUAAAGUUCUCAAUGCAUCGAUCUUAAUCAGAAAACAGAAUAUUCAGGCUUAGUAACUAAAAUUAACAUAUAAGAUGAUAUGAGGUUAGCAACAGACAUUACAUAUAACAAGAACUGUCAUGCUACUGUUUUCAAUCUUUGUUGUUUAUCUUGUGCCAAACUGAAUAUAUUUAACAAGUUAGCAUCAAUACUAAUUAAACAAGACCAAUGAAUCUAACAACCACAUGUAGCAACUUAGCAUGGGAUGAUCAUCAAGCUCAACAUGCAAACCAACAUAGCAAACUAGUAUCGACUAUUCUAAAUCCUAGUAACUAUCCUAAAUCAAAUUGUUAUAUAUGACCAGAGGCUUAUAUGAACUGAACGCUAUCAACUAUGUCUAAAUUUUUAGUUACCAGUUAAUCAUACUAAAUCAAAAUUGUUAUAUAUCAACUACAAACUAUUAAGUAAAUCAAAAUGUUGCAUAUCAACAAGAAAAUAUCAACUAGCCUACUAAAUCAAAAUGUAGGAGGGGUGGGGGGGUUGCGGAUGGAGGAUGGAGGAGGUAGAAGGAGGGGCGACUGGAGGAGGGAGGAGGAAGGAGGAAGGAGGAGGAAGGCGGAGCGAGGAGGGGCCGGCCGGCGGCGAACAGAGGAGCGGAGGGAGGACGGAGGAGGAGGGAGGCCGGCGAAGGAUUACCGAGUCCAGGGAGGAGGAGGAGGUAACGGCGGCGCAAAGGAAGGAGCGGUAGGCGAUGGCGGCCGGCAGGGGCGAGGGCGGCCGGCGGGGGAGGACCGACACGGGGGGAUUGAGGGGGGAGAUCAAGUGAGUGAUACGUCUCCAACGUAUCUAUAAUUUUUGAUUGUUCCAUGCUAUUAUAUUAUCCAUCUAGGUUGUUUAUAUGCAUUUAUAUGCUAUUUUAUAUGAUUAUUGGGACUAACCUAUUAUCCUAGAGCCCAGUGCCAGUUUCUGUUUUUUCCUUGUUUUUGAGUAUCACAGAAAAGGAAAACCAAACGGAGUCCAAUAGACCUGAAACUUGACGGAGCUUAUUUUUGGACCAGAAGAAGGCCAUGGAGUAAAAGAGUUGUGCCAGAAGAGUCUUGGGCUGCCCACGAGGGUGGGGGCGCGCCUCCCUGCCGCGUGGAUAGCCCGGANNNNNNNNNNNNNNNNNNNNNNNNNNNNNNNNNNNNNNNNNNNNNNNNNNNNNNNNNNNNNNNNNNNNNNNNNNNNNNNNNNNNNNNNNNNNNNNNNNNNNNNNNNNNNNNNNNNNNNNNNNNNNNNNNNNNNNNNNNNNNNNNNNNNNNNNNNNNNNNNNNNNNNNNNNNNNNNNNNNNNNNNNNNNNNNNNNNNNNNNNGUUCUCGAUGCCAAAACCUCUUUUAUAUACUGAAACCUCCAGAACAUAACCUAGAUUGGGAGUUUCUCCGCUAGAAGCCUCCGUAGCCACCAAAAACCAAUCUAGACCCAUUCCAGCACCCUGCCGGAGGGGGGAAUCCCUCUCCGGUGGCCAUCUUCAUCAUCCCGGCGCUCUCCAUGAUGAGGAGGGAGUAGUUCACCCUCGGGACUGAGGGUUUGAUCUCUCUCUCUCUCUCUCGUGUUCUUGAGUCGGCACGAUCUUGAUGUAUCGCAAGCUUUGCUAUUAUAUUUAGAUCUUAUGAUGUUUCUCCCCUCUACUCUCUUGUGAUGAAUUGAGUUUUCCCUUUGAAGUUAUCUUAUCGGAUUGAGUCUUUAAGGAUUUGAGAAAACUUGAUGUAUGUCUUGCAUGUGCUUAUCUGUGGUCACAAUGGAAUAUCAUGUGAUCCACUUGAUGUAUGAUUUGUGAUCAACUUGCGAGUUCCGUGACCUCAUGAACUUAUGCAUAGGGGUUGGCACACGUUUUUGUCUUGACUCUCAGGUAGAAAUUUUGGGGCACUCUUUGAAGUUCUUUGUGUUGGUUGAAUAGAUGAAUCUGAGAUUGUGUGAUGCAUAUCGUAUAAUCAUACCCACAGAUACUUGAGGUGACAUUGGAGUAUCUAGGUAAUGUUAGGGUUUUGGUUAAUUUGUGUCUUAAGGUGUUAUUCUAGUACGAACUCUAUGAUAGAUUGAAUGGAAAGAAUAGCUUCGUGUUAUUUUACUACGGACUCUUGAAUAGAUCGAUCAGAAAGGAUAACUUUGAGGUGGUUUCGUACCCUAUAAUAAUCUCUUCAUUUGUUCUCCGCUAUUAGUGACUUUGGAGUGACUCUUUGUUGCAUGUUGAGGGAUUGUUAUAUGAUCCAAUUAUGUUAUUAUUGUCAGAGAAAACUUGCACUAGUGAAAGUAUGAACCCUAGGCCUUGUUUCCUAGCAUUGCAAUGCCGUUUGUGCUCACUUUUAUCAUUAGUUACCUUGCAGUUUUUAUAUUUUCAGAUUACAAAACCCUGUUCAUGGAGCGAGGUGGGACUAAAUUUUUGGAGUAAGCUUAGCAGUAGCGGGCAUUGCCAGAAAGCACUACUGCUAUGAUCAGUAGCAGUAGCGCUCUUUGUAUUAAGGCGCUGCUGCUAUAACUAGCUUGACGGUGGGGUCGUGGCAAUUAUAGCAGUAGCGCGGCUUAUCGCAGCCGCGCUACUGCUACAUUUAUUUUAGCAACGCGUUUCAUGGGCACGCGCUACUGCUACGUAGCAGCAGCGCGUUGUUUUAAAGCGCGCUACUGGUAAGAUUCUGUGUAUAUGCUUUUCCCUAGUAGGCUAGGUCAAUAUGUCAUGUAGAUGAAGAACUUGGUCGAAAGCGGGACGCCAGACUUCCACACCAGACGCCAGUGCUCGGACAUGGUGGACCCAACCUGAUGCAGCAUGUUGGUCGGCUGAUCGCCUCGCCCGCUGCGGUCUCCCGCGUGAGCCCGCCUGCGUACUUUGCUCUCAAAAGGCCGAGACCUUGCACCACAUUCUCACCGGGUGUGUCUUUGCUCGCAUCGUUUGGCAUGCCAUCCUCUCUUGGUGUUGCCCUGGUAUCGCUGCGCCGGACGGGACUUCGGGCUUCUUCGACUGGCUGCAUUCAACCCUUCUCCUUGUGUCGCCGGCCAAGCAGUUGGGGAUCUCUACGAUGGCCGCGGUUACCACUUGGGCCCUUUGGUGUCACCGCAACACCAUCAUCUUCAACAAAAUCUCACCGUCUGCCGCACAUCUCAUCGCCAAGAUCAUGGACGAUGCCUGCUCUAGGGCCUGUGCCGGAGCCAAAAGACUAAGCAAUUUUAUUUAUGUAACAUGAUUCUUUGUACUCGGGGCUGCGCAUCCCCUCUUCUUCUGCUCGCUCGGGUGUCAUGGCCGCGCCAACUUGCGUGUGCACCCAUGACGUCGCCCUGCACUUUCUCCCCUCUGUCAAUGCAAUGAUAUUCGAGAAGAAAAAGGUGAACAGGUCAUCAAAGUUUACUCCGAGCAAGUUUCAUCGAUCGAUGUGGCUACAAAAGACGGGAUUCUACAUAAUGAUCAGGCAUCGCUGUUAAAUUAUUAUCCUUGGUGAAACAUGACAAUCAAUCUAACCAGCUUCCUUGACACUUUUGUUUUCUGAAAUACCAGCAGCUACAGUGUAACACAACAUCUCAUUCAGCCCUUGCAUUCUGGGACACUUUUUUUCGCAUGGUAGGGAGCAACACUAUUACAGCUCGACGGGCACCUUUAUGGAUUUCCUUCUCUCUUUUUUUCGAAUGGUAGGGAGCAACACUAUCACGGUUUUAAUUGAUAUAACCAACACAACUGUUGGAUGUAUCACAUAUACAGCAGGCCAAGUGUUCAACGCCACACACCAAGUGAAUCCCAUCUCUAAUGCCACAACAGGUGCCUGUCGAGCUGUAAUUUCAGUAUUUCAUGGAUUCAACUAAAACUCAACCUUCAACCAACAAAGCAGUGAGGGAGGAAAGCCACCCUUAUUUUAGGUACAAAUAUUUCUACUUACCAAGAGUUAAAAGAAUCUGGUUUUGUUACAAUUGCUGAAUGACUGCUAUGUGACUUAAAUUAUCUGUUGUGACAAUUCUUACAAAAAUGGUGCCAUGCUCAGCUUCUAGUAAAGAUCCUAGAAUAUAGAUUCAACAGUCUAGUCAGGAUUCAUGUGACGGAAUGGUGGUGAAUGGAGGAACUUGUACAUACAUUAUUACCCCAGUCUUACUACAAACAUAUCCAUGAGUUAAUAAUCUUAUUACUUCUCCUCAAGAAGUCCUCUACACUUGAGCAAAAGAAGAAUAUGAAAGAACUAUAUUUUCUGGGUUUGUUUUUAUGUGCCUAAUAUGCUUGUGACUUCGCAAAUUCAGCUAAAAUUUAACCUCCAACCAAUAGAACAGCGACAUGGAAAACCACACUUAUCUUUAGAUUCAGGCCACACUUUUCUACCUACAAAACGUUCACAAAACCCGAGCGACAAAUAUUUCUAGGGAAAUUAUCUGCUGUGGUGAUUAUUGUUUUAAAAAAAGUUACCGUGCUCAGUUUCUAGUAAUGAGAAGACUCAAAAUUGAAGUUAAGUAACCUAGAAAUAAAUUAACACUCUAGUCAGGAUUCAGGUAGGUAAAUGUUGAACUAUACACAAUUAAAACAUACUGGGAAGCAUAGCUACUUGAGUAAAGAGAACGGGGAACUUGUACGUAUAUCUGCCCUAGUCUUGCCGCAAACAUACAUAUAUCACUGAGUGAAUCAUGUUGUUCUCUUCCCCUAAAAUGCCCCUUCCCUCGAGCAAAAAAAAAGAAAGAUAAAAGAACAAUAUAUUUUCUAAGUUCAUAUAGCUGCAUAAUUCCUGACACCAUCAAUAGAAGGCCAUGUAGGAUCACAAAAGAAACUAAUAUUUCUUUACCUUAUAUGAUACAAUAUAGAAGAGAUAAUCCACAGACAAUCCUUUCAAUUCUUUCUUUCUUUCUUUGAAACGGAAUCAAUUCUUAGAAACUCAUAACAACAGAACUACCAUCGAUGAAUAACAAGCUGUACACUAAAGAUAUUUAUUUGCAUAAAUAAAUGGGAAUAAGAAGAUGAAAAUACAAACGAUCUCAAACAUAAUGCACUCCAAUAUCUUAUAUUACCACACAUCGAAAGCUAAAAAGGGGGCCAAAAUAAUUAGUACUAAAUGACAGCAAAUAGAUUAAAUGGUUAGGUGCAUUCAUACAACUAUGCAAGGCCCUUACCCUUACAAAGUCUUGGCUAACAAACAUUGUUCAAGCCACAAAAGGCAUGCACCAGAACACCAGCAGAGAAGAAUACGAAACUGGUAGACAGAGGAAUUGGAGCAUAUCUAAGCAAUGCCACGAAACUAGAAAGUAGGCCCGUACCAACCACUAAUUUUUACAAAGGUAUUGUGCCCUGUUGAGUUCCAGAUGCUGCACUGAGUCUCAGUGACCAGCUGAUGGCAGUUCCGCAAAACAGGGAGUAUAAGGUAGCCCAAUCAUGAACUCAUCGCAGAUAACAUGUACUUUCUGAUUAUCCAUAUCGUAUGACACUGUCUUCUUCUUCUGGUUGGUAAGGAAAAUGACAUUACAAUCUGGAUGAAUUGCAAACAUCUGAUAAAAAUCACCAUCUUUGCGACAAUGCCUUCCGAACAGCUCUGAAACAUUAACAGUAUGCUUUAGGGUCCACUUUCCAGUACCAUAGUCCUCAAGAACCCAAAUAUCGAGUUCACUAUCAUCACAAUAAUCCACCUGCCACGCAUACAAACGCCCUUGAGAUUGCCCAGUCAAAACAAUAUUACAGCUCGUCCAGUCAACUGGCAUUUGAAUCUCCUUCCAAACUUUCCCCUCCACGUCAACUGUGGGUAUUAUUGAAUUACAAAGGGUGGCCAAAUGCAUGGUGCCAUUCAAGAAGACAUGUGUGCGUCUACUACAAUCCACAUGAGUUACGGAGGACCACUUAGUCUGCACGUAAGUCCACUGUCCAGUUUUUGAUGAGUAGAUCGCCAUUUGUCCAGGAAGGUGGUCAGCAUUGUAAGGGGUUGCAAACACCAUAAAGCGGGUUGGGACAGCGGCUUCGAAACCUAAGUAAGUCAUUGGUAUGCCUUUCUUCCAUGGGUGGCUGCACUCUUGAGCCGGAAAUACUACAGGAGGCAGCACAGUCCACUCUUGAGUCGCGGGAUUGCACACAACAUAAUCAUUUUCACACGCAGAACACGAAUUCCAGCAGCUGCAAAGGAGAAGACCUUCGCACAAUUGUUCGACAUGAACGUUUUCGUACCUCUGCCGCAAGAAAGGGAGAGAAGGGUCGACCAGAGGCAGACCUCUCCCGGACAAAUUGCGGAAUUUGAGGACACCGGCGUUCUUGUAGAAGAAGCCGGAGAGGGUCUGUGGCGACCUCUUGAGGAUGUCCCGGGCGGAGCAGAGGACGAGCCACGGCUUGGACACGCACUUGAAGCGGCAGAGGGACCUGUAGGGCACUCGCGAAAGGAUCUCGACGAGGGCGCCCUCGGGGAGGCUCGGCACGGGCUGCUGCUCCAGCUUCUGCUUCUUCUCCUGUCAAUGAUACAAACGGUUCGUUCAGGUUCCCGAUUCCUUUCCUUUCUUGGAUCGAAGAUGGGGGCACACUAGAAGAUUGGAAGGCCUUGUAAAAAAAGAAGAGGGACUUGGAGCAAACCUUGGAAGCUACUGCAGAAAUGGUGGGGAGCUGCGGCGUGUCCUCCUCGCGGUGGACGGUCGCCGGUGGGUGGCUCUGCACCGUGCUGCUGCCAUGCUCGUCUCCUUCUUCUCCUCCUCCUCCUGGCGGCAUCGCCUCCUGCCCGGCCCGCGGAUCCGUGCCUCGAGGCAGUCGACUCGACGGUUGCGACGCCGGCCGCCGCUGCUCGCCGGGGCUAGGGCUCGGGAUGGGGAAUGGGGCGGCGGCUGAUUUGGGAACGUGAGUAACUAACCCGGUGAGAGUGUGUACUCCGUCAUAACGGGCUCGUGGAUUAGUACCAUCAGCAGGUGGCCAUGUAAAAACGGCCCAAUGGAUCAUGGUAGUUUCUCAGACCUCUCGCCUUGUUUCCGAGGAAAAAAGAAACUCCCCUGGGUUUUUUUAUACAUACAUGCACAGUAGUGUAAACGAUAUCUGCAUCAGGGGAAUGUACAUAGCGGUUUUUGUAUGUGUUGGUACUAGUAUAUUCUGAAUUAUUACCUUCUUGCACCUGUUAGUCUUCGAAGCAAUUCCCAAGAUACUCCAUACUGACAUUGAUCUUUGCUAGAUGAAUUAACAGCACUUGUUUUUGACUAAAAAGCAGCAGGGUACUAAUUUUCGUUGAUAGAGGAGUGAAAAUACAAAUGGUGUAUCCGGUAGCAAGAACAAAAAAAGGACUGGUGCGGCACCAAAAGCCAUACAAUAUACACCGGCUCGAGCAAGAAUUAAGGGCAGCUCGAAGAAUGAAGCCAUCAACGCUAAGGGCAACUCUAGCCGAGGAGUUACGCUGGACAUAGCCAAACCCUUAUUUGGUUUAGCUGCUUAAAAAUUGUAGGAGAUGCGUCAUUCNNNNNNNNNNNNNNNNNNNNNNNNNNNNNNNNNNNNNNNNNNNNNNNNNNNNNNNNNNNNNNNNNNNNNNNNNNNNNNNNNNNNNNNNNNNNNNNNNNNNNNNNNNNNNNNNNNNNNNNNNNNNNNNNNNNNNNNNNNNNNNNNNNNNNNNNNNNNNNNNNNNNNNNNNNNNNNNNNNNNNNNNNNNNNNNNNNNNNNNNNNNNNNNNNNNNNNNNNNNNNNNNNNNNNNNNNNNNNNNNNNNNNNNNNNNNNNNNNNNNNNNNNNNNNNNNNNNNNNNNNNNNNNNNNNNNNNNNNNNNNNNNNNUCACUUGUUGAAUGGACCCAUAUCACUGCUGUCAUCGCCUAGCUCUCGUGGAUGAAAAAGCAUCGAGCUUAGUUUCGUCCAAAACAAAGUCGACAGACAAUCAAAGAUGUCAGAGAGCACCCGCGGAGGCGCUAGACGGCCACGGAAUCGCGGCCACACCGGUAAAAUUCUGAAGAUCACAGUUCGGUUGUGGCGAGCUUGGUCGGCGACCGACAAACACGGUCUUAGGAGAAUCUUCCUCUUCGGGAGGCCGCAUGCCGUGUCCCAGCCCUACCGUUGACCCGUAGCCUCGACGUCAACUCAAUGCCGCCGGCGGAUCGAGGCUCUCACCUCCUCUAGCCAUAAAGUGUUCGACGAAUUACAUAGGUAAGAUUUUUGGCUUUUCCAUUGUGUUUUUUGCGGUGAAAUUCAAUAUAAAAUAUUGGGUAGUGUAGAUGAAGAGGUUAAGAGAGAUGUUCUUCGACGACUCUUCGUCCGAGGACGAGGUAGAAGAUGAUGAUGGUUUUGAAAUGGACAAUAUCGUGAUCGUCAACUAGGACAUUAGGCGACCAAGACUAGGAUCACAGUUUGGCCGCUUGUACAUCAAUCGGGGCAGAGAAGAGGCCCAUGAGAAGAUUAUGAAGGAUUAUUUCGGACCCAAUGCAACCUAUCCGGAGAAGUAUUUUCCGCAACAUUUUCGGAUGCACCGAAGUAUCUCCCCGACCAUUGCAAAACUUGUGUGAGGAGCAUGAUCCAUAUUUGUCACUACCUUGUAGAUGGCAUCUAUCCUCGAUGGCCCAUAUUUUGUGAAGACAAUCCCACGUCCUCAAGGAAACCAGAGAUCCCACUUUGCAAAUGCAACAAGAGUAGAGAAGAAAGAAUGUUGAGACAGCUUUUGGUUUGCUUCAAAAGCUCUUUGACAUUGUUCAUGCCCAUGCCAAGUAUUGGAACCCACAUGUCCUAUUGCAAAUAAUGGCAUGUUGCGUCAACCGUGAAGUUCAUACCCAGCUCUAAGAUGAUCUUGUUGAGCACUUGUGGGCACUUCAUAGCAGUUGAUUGUUGUGAUUCUAUCAUGCUCUUUAUCUACUUCAUUUGGACCCUGUCGUAAGUUUGAAUUUGAAUAAUUAAACUUGUAAACUUUGAAUCCGUAAUCUUUAUGAAUUGUGUGAACCUUAAUUAUUAAGUUUGGAUUUAAUAUGUUUGCAAAUAUGUUGUUGAAAUGGAGUAUGUAAAUCAAAAUUUAGAAAAUUGGCGAAGAUCUUUUUUUUAGGGAUGUAGGUUUUAGAAGUUCGGAUAGGAACCGUUUUUAUCUAACUCUUCAAAAUUGAGGAGUUGAGGGUUGAGGGGGUGUUUAAGGGGCUAAAAAUAGGCGGCUACUCCAAUUUGGCUGACCGAUCUAGCACUAAAUUGGUCGCGCACCACCCGUUGGAUCAAGCCGUGGUGCGUCGCUGGAUCAAAAUUCAGACGGAUUUACUCUUUUCUUUAGUUGUCGCGAAGCUAACCUGAUCUGCAGACAUAUCACAAACACAUGUCAAUUUUCAAUUAAGCUGGCUUUGCUCUUUUCUUUAGUUGUCGUGAAAUUAACCUAAUCUGCAAACAUAUCACAAACACAUGUCAAUUUUCAAUUAAGCGGCCGACGUCGACAACGCGUCAUACUACGCAAUAGCUGUCUGAAUUUCUCUGGGUAUUUCUUGCACUUGGAGUGCAACUGUAUCAAAUAGUAUGUGUAGGUGGCAUUCCAUGUCUAAGUCAAAGUUCAGCACGAAUAAGUUUGCUGAAUCGAUGCGUUUGGAACGACACAAGAAGGCUCACCUUGUGGAUCUGACGUCAGUUAAAUUAGUCGCGACGCCUAGCAAUCAGAUGGAUCAGCAAAUACGCCUACAGAAGACUGCACCCGCGACGACAGAUACGUCGAUCUCCGGCCACCAUACAACCACACUGCUACAGCGUGGUUAUCAUCUUAACACUUUUUUGGAAAAAAAAAAUCAUGAGAUCAAAAUGUGAUGGCCAAUUUUCAGUUCCAACGCCUACAGUGUCGCGUCCAACACAACACAACAUCUCAUGCAGUUCUCAGCAUGGCCCGCUGAUAAAUAAGGCUAUCCAACAACUUUUCCUAAGAUUUGAGGUGAAGGUUGUAAUGGAAUCCCAUCUCUAAAUGAUCUUAUAUUUAGUGUCAAAAAUGAUCUUAUAUUUUGGGACGGAAGAAGUACAUUCAGCAAAAACUAAACCUUCAACAAACAAAGCAAUGACAGGAAAACCACCAUUAUCCUUUUGAGUAUAUAAUAAAAGGGUCGUCCUCAACUUCUAGUAAAGAGCAGGACCGAAAAUCAAAGUUGGGCAACCUAGAACACAAAUUUGACAAUCUAGUUAGGAUUCAUGUAAGGGAAUGGCGAGCUCUAUCGGAACCAAAAUUAAUGACACAUGUAUUGAGAACCAGUAUUAUUUAGUGUACUAAAUUCAGCAUUUUUUUGAAAAGAGGGGACUCCCCGCCCUCUGCAUCAGAACGAUGCAUACGGCCAACUUAUUAAAAAAAUAGGUUUAACAAGGUCUUAAAGUCUCAAUUGAAAAUAAAGAAGAGCUCACAAAGAGCCAAAAGAACCAAAAACAAACUAGCCACAAAAAGCCACAACCCGCUGACAUAAGAGAGAUAGGUAAACUAAUUGCCCAUCCUAUUACAUGACCGCCAUCCAAACCGGUUGAAGAUCCCGUGCUACCAUCUCCCAGCGGAUAGAUCCAGUAACCAAAUGCUCCCUGGCCUCCGUCGGAGUGAGUAGCGACCACAUACGGAUCAACGCAGUGACUCGGAAAAUAACCUGCAAAAAAUGAAUAUUUUUUGUUUUGUUAAAAAACAAAUCAUUUCUGCAGUUCCAGACUGCCCACAAUAAAGCACAAACUCCUACGCGAAUGUGUCUCGCUGUUUCGGGCUCUAUCCCGUUAAGCCACGUUCCAAAUAACGUGUUGACAGAACUCGGUGGAGUAAUAUUAAAUGCAAUAUGGACUGUCCACGAUAGAACUUUGGCUAACUGGCAAUCAAGAAAAAGGUGUUUGAUAGUUUCAUCCCGAUCACAGAAACUACACCUAGUAGGUCCUUUUCAAUUACGCUUUGCCAAAUUGUCCUUGGUUAAUAUUACUUGUUUAUGGACAACCCACAUAAACACUUUGAUUUUCAAAGGAACUUUGACAGCCCAAACAUGUUUUGAACUAGGAAUCGAGCUUGAAUUGAUAACAUCAAGAUACAUUGAUUUAACAGUAAACUCUCCAGACCUAGUAAGAUUCCAGCGUAAUUUAUCGAGCUGUUGAGAUAGCUGAACCUCCAUCAGUCUACUUACUAGAUGAAGCCAUUCUUCCCAACGAUUGCCAACUAUUGUCCUUCUGAACUGAAUAUUAAGGGGACUGGAUUGAAGUACCGUUGCAACGAACGCCUCACGUCGUUGAACAAUACGAUACAGAGACGGGUAUUGAAUGGCAAGGGGGGUCUCUCCGAGCCAAGUAUCCUCCCAGAAUCGCGUGCUAGCACCGUUGCCAUUAAUAAACUUUGUCCUAUUAAACAAGGUUAAUUUGACUUUCAUAAGCCCUUUCCAAAAAGGUGAGUCAGUCGGCCUUGCUGUCACCUGGGACAAAGUUUUGGAGUGAAGAUACUUGCUACGGAGGAUCUGCGUCCAAGUGGCAUCAGUCUCUACCGAUAACUUCCACAGCCACUUGCUAAGAAGACAUCUGUUCUUGACCUCAAGAUUCUCAAUACCAAGACCCCCUUGGUCUUUCGGUCGACAGAUGAUAUCCCAUUUGGCGAGUCUGUAUUUUCUUUUUAGUUCAUCGCUCUGCCAGAAGAACCGUGAUCGAUAGAAGUCCAGUCUUUUCCUAACUCCAACUGGGACUUCGAAGAACGACAAAAGAAACAUAGGCAUACUCGUGAGAAUCGAGUUUAUCAGAAUUAAUCGGCCUCCGUAUGACAUGAGCUUGCCCUUCCAGCAACUCAGUUUCUUUUCAAAGCGGUCCUCGAUGCACUUUCAUUCUUUGUUUGUAAGCUUACAAUGGUGGAUUGGUAUAUCUAGAUAUGUAAAAGGUAAAGUUCCCAAUUCGCACCCAAACAAUUGCCUAUAUGCCUCUUGUUCGUCAUUGGCUCUAAUUGCACGUUCAAUCAACAAAGCAGUGACAGGAAAACCACCUUUAUCCUUAUUACUAUUACAAACAAAAAAAAGUUGCCGUGCUCAACCUCAACAACUAAGGAGCAGGACCCAAAUCAAAUGAACAACUUAGAACAGAAAUUUAACAGUCUAUUUAGGAUUCAUCCAAGGGAAUGGCGAGCUAUAUCAAAACCAGAAUUAAGAGUGCACAAGUACUUUAGUGAUGAAUGGUGAACCUGUAUGUAUGUUAGGGCAUCUCCAGCCGUUGGCCCCCCCAGGGGGCGUCUAAAAGCGCCGCCUGGGGGUGAGACGGCGCAAAAAAUAGCCCUGGGGGCGAGUCGGUCCCCAGCCGUCGGCCCCCAAGGCCGCCCCCAGGCGCGUAUUUAGAAAAAGACCGUUCGGCAAAGUUAUGAUAAAAACUAGUUAAAUUUCGGCCAAACAUGGCAAAUUUCGGUGAAAUUCGCGCAUUUUCAUUACAUUAACCUAAUCUAAAAAAAGAAAAGGGCUGAAGUCGUCGCCGCCGUCGCCGCCAUCGUCGUCGUCGGCCUUCUCCUCCUUGACGCGGGCGCCCCUACUGGACCCCUGCCCGGCGUCACCAUGGCGGACUGGCGGCGGCGCGUCGUCGUCGUCGUCGCUGUCGCAUAAGACGACGACCCCGUCUUCAACGCGGCCGCGUCGGCGCUCCUCCAAGUGGCGCAGGAUGGCGCGCUGGCGUUCCUUCUCCUUCUCCUUCUCCCGGCGCGCCUUCUCCAUCGCAAUGGAGUCCUGGCGCGCCCAUUAUAGGGUCGCGUCGUCGUCGUCGAACUCCGCCUCCAUCGGCGCCAGCCCCGGCUCCGUCUUCACCGGCGCCAGCCCCGGCUCCAUCUUCGGCUUGACGAAGCGCGGAGGAGCCGACGAGGAGGGGGCGCGCCGGCCGCCCUCGUUGAUGACGAUGCCGACGCUGCGAGUGCGCCGGCCGAUUGGCAUCUCCGCCGCGGGCUCGGCCUUGACGCCGAGAAGCGCCGGAGAACCGGAGGAGUGGGAAGAUGAGCGAGAGGAGGAAGAUGAGGAGGAGGCGAACCUCCUUGGCGCCCAUGCGCGUCGGUGUUGUGACGGGGCGGCCCCCGUCGCAGGUUAGGUCAACGGCGGUUUGUUGCCGCCGUCGAGGUGCGUCAGCACGCCCUCCAGCGUGCGGCCCAGGACGCCCCAUCACAGGUGGCGCCCCACACUGUUCUUCAUGCCGCCGACCACCGGCGCGUCGUUGGUGGAGACCAGGCGCUGCUGUUGGCGGCGCUGGAAGUACGCCGCCCAAGCCGCGUGAUUGCCGGUGGCGUACUGGGGGAGGGAGCGCUCGUCGUCGGUCAGGGAGGCGCGCGCGACCUUGACCUCCUCGGCGAAGUACGUGGGCUUCGCCACGGCGUCGGGUAACGGGGGAACAUGCACUCCCCCGUCGCUGAGCCGCCACCCCGUCGGCCCGGCGCGCAUGUCCGGCGGCGCCGGGGUGUUUGCCUGGAACAGGAGCCAGGACUCCUGUCCGCGGAGCGAACACCGGCCGAAGCCGUUCGCCGCCGCCUCGUCUCCGGGGAAGCGCUCUGCCACGGCGACGGGCUCGGCGGUGGUAGAGAGGGAGAGAGAGGGGCUGCCGGUGCCGCUCGGGAGAGGAAGACGGAGACGGAGAGAGAGGGGCUGGGCGGCGGCGAGGGGCGAGUCUGGUGUGGGCACCGGCGAGAACCGCCGGCUUUUAUAGCCGCUCCGCGCCCGUGUGUACGCGUGCGAGGGAGGGGAGGCGUCGGCGCGCCGUCCCGAGACGCGCCGCCCGUGUGGAAUCAAUGGCAAGGCUGACCGGCGGUAGCCUUGCCAUUGAUUCCAGCAGGAACCGAGGCAGUUGUGGGGAAGACGAGCCGCCGUGUCCCUGACGCGGCUGGCCCGCGGCUUUUUCGCGCCAAAACAGUUCGCCCUGGCGCCCCCGGGCGCCCCCCAGCGUGCCGGGUUCGGCCUGGGUCCGCCGGCGUUGUUUUCGGCCCAGGCCGGCGAAAAUCGGGCUCCUGAGACACGACUGGGCCGUUUUUUCGGCGCCGGCGCAAAAAAAAAACGUCUGGAAGACAUUUCUGGAGGCGCGGCUGGAGAUGCCCUUAUCACCCCGGUCUUACUACAGACAUAUAAGUAUCAAUGAGUGAAUCACGUUGUUUGCUGCCCCUCAAAAGAUCCUCUUUCCCGAGCAAAAAAGAAGAUGAAUUGACUGUCUUCCAGGUUUGUUUAGCUGCACAUUUCUCGACACCAUCAAUGGAAGUCCAUGCGGGUAACAUACAAGAAACUAAUAUUUCUUUACCAUGCCUCUACCCCUAUAUGCUGCGAUAUAAAAGAGACGAUCCACAAACAAACAUACCAAAUCUUACAAAUGCAUAAAAGCAGAGGUAGCAUCGAUGGAUAACAAGUUGCUAUACGUUGAGAAGAAAUGAUCCACAGAUAAUCACAUCAAAUCUUUAAAAUGCAUUAAAAAGGAGCAUCGAUGGAUAGCAAACUGUAGACUGGAGAUAUUUACUUGCAUAAAACAAACGGAAAUAAAGAGGUGACAAUAACACAGAUAAUGUAGUCUCAAUAUCUUAUAUUACCCACAUCAGGGGCUAGCGAGUGGCCAUAAUAAUUAGUGCUACAUGACAGCAAAUAGAUUAAAUAGCUAGGUGGAUUCUUACAACUAAGCAGUACCAUUAGCCUUACAAAGUCUUGGCUAAUAAACAUCGUUCAAAGCAACGAUGGCAUGCACCUGAACACAAGACUGUUCACAUAGGAGUUGGGACUUCUCCACGCAAUGCCACAAAAUCAGGAGAGUAGGUACAUAGCAACAAACUAAGUUUCGCAAAAGGUGCUGUCCCAUUAUAGGCACAUGAUGUAGCACUGAAUCUCAGUGACCAGCUGAGGGCAAUUCCGCAAAACAGGGAAUAUAAGGCAGACCAUUCAUGCCUUCAGUGCAGAUAACAUGCACUUUCUGAUUAUCCAUGUCAUACGACAAUGUCAAGUUUUUCUUGUCAGUAAGAAAAAUCAUGUUGCAAUCCGGAUGAAUUGCAAACAUCACAUAAGAAUCUCCAUCUUUACGGCAAUUCCUUCCAAACAGCUCCAAAACGUUAACAGUAUGCUUUAGGGUCCACUUUCCAGCAUCAUAAUCCUCGAGGACCCAAAUAUUGAGUUGGCAAUCACGAGAAUUAUCUAUCCACCAGGCAUACAAGCGUCCUUGUAAAAAGGCCCUUACUUCCAAAGCUGCAAGGGAGUGCGACAAGGGGACCCGCAUUCACCUUUCUUAUUCAAUAUGGUUGUGGAAGCCUUAUCCAAAAUGAUCCUGAAAGCUCAAAGAGAGAAAUUGAUAACAGGUCUGGCUCCGGACCUGAUUGAUGGGGGGUAGCUAUCCUCCAAUAUGCAGACGAUACGGUUGUGUGUUUUGAGCAUGAUAAAGAUGUUGCGGUUAAUCUGAAACUCUUACUUUAUUUGUUUGAGCUUAUGUCAGGGCUUAAGAUUAAUUUUCUGAAAAGUGAAAUUUUGUGUGUUGGAGGGGAUGAUGAGGUUCUUGCGUUUCAUUCAAAACUCUUCAAUUGUCAAAUUGGCCACUUCCCUAUGAAGUAUUUAGGGGUGCCUGUGAGCUAUUCUACCCUCCGUGCGAUUGACUGGGAUUUUUUUGAUGACAAAUUCCUCAAGUGCUGUGAAUCCUGGAUUGGUAAUGCAGCCUCCUUAGGAGGAAGAUUGACUCUUCUCAACUCGUCCCUUACGAGCAUUGUUUUCUUUUACAUGUCUAUUUUUAUGCUUUCUAAGAAGAAUAUUGAGAAGCUAGAUAAACAUAGGAAAAAGUUCUUUUGGCAAGAGACUGACGGUCGGAGAAGAUAUCACUUGGUUAGAUGGUCUAGGAUCUGCAGAUCCAAGAAUAAAGGGGGUUUGUGUUGGAAAUAUGCCCUAGAGGCAAUAAUAAAUUAGUUAUUAUUAUAUUUCCUUGUUCAUGAUAAUCGUUUAUUAUCCAUGCUAGAAUUGUAUUGAUAGGAAACUCAGAUACAUGUGUGGAUACAUAGACAACACCAUGUCCCUAGUAAGCCUCUAGUUGACUAGCUCGUUGAUCAAUAGAUGGUUACGGUUUCCUGACCAUGGACAUUGGAUGUCAUUGAUAACGGGAUCACAUCAUUAGAAGAAUGAUGUGAUGGACAAGACCCAAUCCUAAGCCUAGCACAAAGAUCGUGUAGUUCGUAUGCUAAAGCUUUUCUAAUGUCAAGUAUCAUUUCCUUAGACCAUGAGAUUGUGCAACUCCUGGAUACCAUAGGAAUACUUUGGGUGUGCCAAACGUCACAACGUAACUGGGUGGCUAUAAAGGUACACUACAGGUAUCUCCGAAGUGUCUGUUGGGUUGGCAUGAAUCGAGACUGGGAUUUGUCACUCCGUGUAAACGGAGAGGUAUCUCUGGGCCCACUCGGUAGGACAUCAUCAUAAUGUGCACAAUGUGACCAAGGAGUUGAUCACGGGAUGAUGUGUUACGGAACGAGUAAAGAGACUUGCCGGUAACGAGAUUGAAUAAGGUAUCGGGAUACCGACGAUCGAAUCUCGGGCAAGUAUCGUACCGCUAGACAAAGGGAAUUGUAUACGGGAUUGAUUAAGUCCUUGACAUCAUGGUUCAUCCAAUGAGAUCAUCGUGGAACAUGUGGGAGCCAACAUGGGUAUCCAGAUCCCGCUGUUGGUUAUUGACCGGAGAGCCAUCUUGGUCAUGUCUACAUGUCUCUCGAACCCGUAGGGUCUACACACUUAAGGUUCGAUGACGCUAGGGUUAUAAGGAAUAGAUAUACGUGGUUACCGAAUGUUGUUCGGAGUCCCGGAUGAGAACCCAGACGUCACAAGGAGUUCCGGAAUGGUCCGGAGGUAAAGAUUUAUAUAUGGGAAGUCCUGUUUUGGUCGCCGGAAAAGUUUUGGGGUUUUUCGGUAGCGUACCGGGACCACCGGGAGGGUCCCGGGGGUCCACCAAGUGGGGCCACAAGCCCCAGAGGGCUACAUGGGCCAAGUGUGGGAGGGGACCAGCCCCAUGUCACAUCCCUAGUUCUAUUAAUGCCUAGUGCUAGCAUCUGGUGUUGCAUCAUGUUUAAAUUUCAGUUAAACCUGAAAUGGGGAUUGCCUAAACCCUAGCACCAAAUGAAUUCAACUAGGUUCAAUAAAAAAAAUAUUUUCAACGAUCCCAAUUGCCCUUUAGAAAAGUUCAUGAUUUUUGUUAAAGGUGAAAACCUCUGCCAAAAGUCAUGCACAUAUUUCUAGGCCAUUCUGGAUUUUUGAACUAAAUCAUAUAGUAUUUGAAUUUGGGCAUUUAAAUACUAUAAAAUAAUUAAAAUGUUCAAAUAAUCCUAAACUGAAAUGUUCCAUGUUGGAUAUAUUCCAAACAGUGGCCAUGAGCAGUUUGGAGAUUUUUGAGUGUGCCUAAGUAUUUUUAAUAAAGCCCAGAACAAAAUAACAAAAUAGAAAAGAGAAAUAAAAUAGAAAUGGAGAGAGAGAACCUCACCUGGCCUCACUGUGCAGCCCACCUAGUCGGGCCAGCUGGCGGCCCAGCCAGCUGGCCAGCCCACCGAGGGCAGGGGCGUCUUCUUCCUCCUGCCAGAAGGCAGAGGAGAAGACAGCCACGGCGCCGCGGCGUGCCAUGCCGGCAGCUGCCUGCCUGGCUGCCCCCUCGUCGCCCUGGACUCCCUCUGCGACGCCACGCUACCCCCCUGGACCCCCUUGAUGCUCUCGCUCUCUCCCUCGCUCUCUGCUCCCUCUACCGAGCACACACGAGCGGAGCUCGUCGUCGCCGACGCAAUUUGCCGCGACCACCGCCGUCCCAACGAUGCCCCGAGCUGUUCCCGAGCUCCUCCACCUCGUCGCCAACCUCCUCACCGACUCACGCCACCAGGAGAGCCCCGAAACGACGGCCUCAACGUCAUCUCCAACCACGGCUGACCGAGAUCGCCGCCGUCAAUUCGCCGUCGCAGAAGCUUCCCCGAGCCCGCUGAGUUUCUCUCCCGACCCCUUGUGAGCUCCUGCACCUUCCCUAUGCUCGCCCCCUCUCCGUUUCUCUCCGCUAGCUCGAUUCCGCUGGAGCCGAGAGCUCAUCGCCGCCGUCCAUGGUGCCGCCGUCGUUUUAGCCACCAUAGCUCGUGCCUGAUCGCGUCAACGCGUUCGGUGCCUUCCCAGGAGCAUGCAGCUCCCACCAGCUCCUCCUCCCGAGCACCCUAACGCCGAGCCCGCACCAACCCCGAACUCCGGCCGCCGCCUUUGAGCUCGUGGCCGUCGACUCCGGCCACCCCAGGCCCGGCUACUGCCACCAGGUGACACGCUGCAACGCCAGCUACCCGUAGAGCCCAACCGCGGCUCAAACCGCAGCCUGUACACGAAACCCGAGCAACUCCGGCGAGUUGCCGCCACGGUUUUGGUCGCCGGCGACUUAACUCCGGCCGUGCCGACGUGGCACCAUCAUUAGUGGCUAAUGACGCCACUAAACUAACCCCUAGCUCACUGACGAAUGGACCCCACAGUUAAUUAACCCCGGGUUUAGUUUCCUGUUUAGAUUAGUGCUAACCCUAUGGACCCCACGUGUCAGCUUUGACGUUGGUCAAGUCAACAUUGGCCGGUCCCACUUGUCAUCCACCCAAACCAGCCUGAGACACUGACGUGUGGGUCCCAGUCAUCAGGUUUGACCUGGGCUGACGCCUUUGACCUGCUGAUGUCACGGUGACGUAAUGUUGAUGCAAUAAUUCAUUUUCUGGAAUUAGUUAAUUCUAAAUAAUUCAGAAAAUUCCAGAAAAUUGCCUAAACUUCUAAAAAUCAUAGAAAUUCAACCGUAACUCCAAAUAAAAUAAAUUAUAUAUGUAAAAUUAUCAGAAAAAUUCAAGGAAUCCAUCUGUACACUUUUCAUGCAUGUUUGAACAAUGUUUGUCCUCUGUUUUGGACAAAACAAAUACAGGGCACUUAAAUAAACAUAUAUGGAGUUGGAAUUUGAAUCUUGUAUUCAAACCAACUUCAUUUAAAUCAUAACUAGAUGCAUUAGCUCAAAUCACAGCAUAUUGCCAUGUCAUGAUCAUGCAUCAUAUUGUCGCAUAUGCAUUGAUUGUGUUCUUCUCUUUUGCCGGUGUUUGUCCCCCUUCAGUAGACGACGUUCUGACGAUGUGUUCGAUGACACUGAUGAAAAACUAUUACUAUCUUCAGAAGUGCCAGGCAAGCACAACUCGCUUGUUCAUUCUGAUACAAGCCCACUCUCUCGCUCCUGCUCUCUUUUACUGCAUUAGGACAACAACGAUCAUCUGUUACUUGUUGCGGUAGUUGAACCCCUUAUCCUCUGCAUGACCUGUCAUUGCCACAGUAAAUAGAUGAAACCCACUAGCAUGAGUAGGAGUUGUUUGAGCCCUGAUGUGCCUACUCAUUCAUGCUUGUUUGUCAUGCCUGCUACUGCUUAGAGUUGGGUCAGGUCUGAUUCAUCGGGGAUGAAUCGGAGGUGUGUAAACAUGCCCUACUGUGUGUGAGCUAAGUGUGUGAAAACGUUUUGGUAAAGGUAGCGGUGAGAGACCAUGUAGGAGUACAUGGUGGGUUGUCUCAUUGAAACCGUCCUCGGGAACUGAGUUCUGUGUCUGUGAUCCAUGAACAGCUACUACCACUCAUUGGGAUCCUUAAUUGACCCUCUCAGCUUCUUAAUCACCCUAGUACUCUGUCCAGGAGUUGCAACUAGUUUCUGGUGUUUGUAGGUUAUGUGUUGGCGGCCGUGCGUAGCGCUGACCCUAGGGGUGGGCUAUGAUGCGGUAGAUACACCAUGGCCGGGCAUGCCGGGCGCCCGUUUGGUGUCUCGGAACCCUGUACACAUCAUUCAGGGCCGUAUGUGGAAACCUCGGCCGGACUCCCUGCGGAUGGAACCUGGAUAGGCGAUAAACCUGGACUAGAGACUUGAGUGUUUAGGUAGGCCGUGGCCGACACCCUCGUUGGGCUUCCGCUUGAAGGUUGCCGAGUACAUGUCAUGUAAAUGGCGGUAAGUGGUGAGAGCGUGUGUGAAGAAGUACACCCCUGCAGGGUUAACAUCAUCUAUUCGAAUAGCCGUGUCCACGGUAAUGGACUUCUGGGUUGCCUAUAACAGUUCAUAGACAAGUGAAAAUGGAUACUCUAAAACUCGCAAGAUAAGUGUGAGUGCUAUGGAUGGCCUUCUCGUAGGGACACGGGAGCGGAUCCAUAGUGGUGUAUUGAAUGGUGAAUAUGUGGACUCGUGUGCGCCACCUCAAAAGAGUUGCUUGCAGUCGUAGUUCAGGUUAGCCACUGAGUCAAAGCUGGCUUGCUGCAGUUAAACUCCACCACCCCCCCUUUAUUGAUACUGAUGCAUAUGUAGAUAGUUCUGAUGUAAGUCUUGCUUGGUACAUUUGUACUCACGUUUGCCUAUUUUAUGUUUUGCAGAGAGACGUCAGUCUCACUAGUAGUUCCGUGUGGACUUUGACGUUAGCUUGAUACCUCAGCUACGAUCUUGUGCCCUCGGCAGGAUCUGGUAGAUAGUCAGGCUUCUCAGCCUUUUUCAUUUGUAGAUGUCUGUACUCAGACAUGUUAAGCUUCCGCUUGGGUUUUGACUUGUAUGCUCUGGAUGUUGGGCCAUGAGACCCAUGUUUGUAAUAUCUCGCUCCUCGGAGCCUGAUGAGUAAAUACUUGAGUCGUAGAGUCUUGUUGUGAUGCCAUGUUGUAUUUACACAUAUCGAGCAUAUUGUGUGUAUGAUUGAAAUGCUUGGUAUGUGUGGGAUCCGACAAUCUAGUUGUUUAUCCUUGGCAGCCUCUCUUAUGGGGAAAUGUAGUCUAGUUCUUCCAUGAGCCAUAGUAGUCCGCUACAGCCGGUUCGCCGGAGUCCUGCUAGCCCAGCACUACUGCUCAGGACACUUAACUGGCCGGCAUGUGUUUCACUUCGUUCCCGUGUCUGUCCCUUUGGGGAAAUGUCACGCGGUGACAUCCGGAGUCCUGCCUAGCCUGCUACAGCCCGGGUUACCGGAGUCCUGUUAGCCCAGUGCUACAGCCCGGAUUCACACGCUGCUGACCGACAUGCUCGAUGUGAUUCAUGUAUGUCUGUUCCCAUAGGUUGGUGCCGCUUUGGGUUCACGACUAGCCAUGUCGGCCUGGGUUCCCUGUCAUAUGGAUGCUAGCGACACUAUCAUAUACGUGAGCCAAAAGGCGCAAACGGUCCCGGCCAUGGUAAGGCGACACCCAUGGGAAUACCGUGCGUGAGGCCGUAAAGUGAUAUGAGGUGUUACCGGCUAGAUCAAUGUGACUUGGAAUCGGGGUCCUGACAGCAUUGGUAUCAGAGCCUGACUACCUGUAGGAUUACCAAGCCAAACUGGUCGAAGUCGAGUCUAGAAAUGCUUUAGUUAUGUAAGGGAAUUGAUUGUGGAAGGGAACGUAAGGUUCUUUUUACUCCUUUACCCUAUGCCCUUCUGAUCUGAGUCAACCUCUUCUUUUCUACGGGGAUUAAGAAUUAGGCCUUCUCAUCUAUCUAUCAGGAUGAUGUGCUACUAAUCCAUAGACUUAUAUAAUUGAUAGUUUCAAGCUUCAGUUCCGUUCCUACUACUUCCGUAUGUUGACAGUUGAUCUCAGAACCUUGAUAUUGUGUUGUUGAGUGGUUAUGCCACCAUUUUGCAGGAUGUCUCAAAUCAUUUUGAGCAUUUACAAUCUUUAUGCUGUCCGAGUCAUCCCAGGUUUCUAACUAGUCUGAUGCAUUUGCAAAUUCCUUCUUCCGUUACCGACGUUCCUUUGGGCCAGUUUAUCCACACUAAUCGGUGAGUUGAGGUACUCUGUUGCCUCGACAUAUAUGUUGGAGCUAUUAUUAUGACCCUAGGUGUUGUAGGGAGUCACCUAGUAAUCUAGCCAUGUUUUGUGUUCCCGGUGUGAUAAUUCUGACCACCAUUCUCGAAAGCAUCCCGUGAUGCCAUUUAGUGGUAGGUAUUCUAUUCAUGGGUUCUUGAACCCGAGAUUCCUCCUACUUAUCUCAUGUUGAUAGUGUUGCUAGUUCCUUUAGGAUAUUAGUAACCUUUGCGAUAGUCCUCGAGGUCCGUGGUAUUUCCUCCUUCCAAAUACUAUGAACCACUUAUGGCAGAAGUUUGUUGGAUCAAAAGAUCACAACCAGAGUGCUCUUGAUGAGUUCUCCAUUCUGCAUUGUGAAUCUGCCAGUCCUACCUUUCUUCAUGGGUUAUCCGGAAGAAAUAACAUGCUAAUCCAUGCAUCCAUACCUCAGAAAAAUUAUAUGUUCCUUUGAGUUGUUCCUCUUUAGUUGUAUUCUGAACCUCGUCCAUCAAUUGUUGGUCAAGAGUAGUUGUGCAUUGGUGUUAUCGAUGCCUAUUAUUCAUGUGAUCCGUCAAGCCAUUCCAUUCCGGAAUGACUAGGAGAAACAAACUCCAGUACCUCAUCCAUAUCCAGGAUUGGGUCAAAGCAGUUGUAUUCCGCGGAUCAAAGUGACAAUCCAGCUUUUGAUUCUGUUCAACCCUUAAGUAUUGCCCACUUUAUGUCAGGAAUAUCAUAGGAAUUGCACAACCUCCUAUGAACUCUUGAUACAGUGAUACUUCUCACCGUCAUUAUUCAUUCCUCGGUUCCGUGUUGUUGUAACCGGGAUGCCGACAAGUGAAUUGUGAUGUGUGAAAUCAAUACUCCAAGAAACUCGUUGCUUUGUAGUAAUGGACAAUAUUCUUAUUCCUAGCGUGUUGGUUUUUGAGCUACCAUUCUAAGAUUGACCGUGCUACCUAGUCCAUAUCUCCGGGUGCACUCAUCGACCAAUGAGUUAGGAUUGUGACAAUCCCUCGCUCCUUGAUCAUAUCGUCUUGCCCUGAAAAGCAAGAUUGUUCUCGAGCUUAAUAACAUAUCAGUGGUUCAUGAUUUUCCGAAUAUUUUCUCGGAAGUAUUACUAGGUUGUUCCCUGAUCGCUAUGUUGAGUUCGUGAUCAUGCUGGUUUUUCUCUAAACCAUCCAUUCUCCAAGAAUCUGUGUUGGAUACCCCCGAGCUAGAUGGUUAAGCUAAACAACAACUUGGAGAUUUGGAAGAUAAAAGGCUUUGCCGAAUUUGGUUCUUUCUGAAGGGAUAUCUUUGUGUUGUGGGUGUGUUGAAGAAAGAUGAUAUCUUCACCAAUUGGUCCUCGUGAUCAGUUGUUGGAUCUGUUAUCUUGUCAAAACUUUGACUUGAGUAUGGGCUAUUGUCGAGUCAAAUCAGAACCAACGAUGUUCGUAGUGUUGUCUUACUCGUGGUUGAUCCCUCGAGAAUACACCAUUACAUCUUUUGGUCUGACCAAUGCUAUCACCGUGUUCACAUGAUGGUGGAAGUCCAGUGAUAUGGAAAUUCCGAUGAGUUGUUAUUGAGCCCAUCAGCAACAUUUUGUCUCCUCCAUGAUUCGUGUUGAACAUCCAGCUAGUGUUGGAAAUUUUGUAAGCAUUAUCUUCGUGAUCCGUUCAUGAAGCCUGUGCUUGGAUGAAAGGAGUGACUUCCUUUGAUUCACGUCCAUUAGAUGUAAGUUGUCGCCGUGAAUUCAAGAAAGCUUGUUUUUGUUUCCUCUAGAAUCAUCCCAAAUCAGUCAUGCAUACGUGCGAAGUAUUCUAUGGUUUGGUAGAUUGAUUACCUCCACUCCAUAUGUAUUCCCUAGCACACCAAGCCACUAAUUGAUUUGUUCAAGGAGAAGAAGUUCCUUCCUAAGAGCAAGACUUAUGUAAGGACUUCGAUAUCCUUGAUGAUGGUUCCCCACCGAACUCGGUAGUGUUUUACUGUAAGACUACUACGUGGUCAUGCUUGUCUUGGACAACGGGUUCACAGGUUUGUAGUAGAACCAGCUCAUGUUUUGGAGCUUAUUAUCGUAGUUCAUUCCCCGAGAAUCUCGCAACGUCAUCUCAUCGAUUUGUGUUGCAAACCUUCAUUUUCCUUUCUAGACUCGAUGAGUCUGGAAUAUCCUGUCACCAACCAGAUCUGAAUCUCAGGCAGAUAUGAUGGUUGGAGCAUUUCCCAAGAACUAUAAUAUUGGUCCCUCAAUAACCGGUAAAGUGGAUGUCAUGGCCAACACAUCCAGCCGGAAGGCCUAUUAUUGUAGUAUCUCGAUUGAAGAAAGUUUGCCACCUCCCCAUGAGGAUUUCGUAGGAUUUACCUCCGUAGUUAAUCCUUACGGAUUCUUGUGCUCCCGAAGUCCGACCUUUACUUGAUGUCCUAGAUACCAAACCGUAUCAAUAAAUGGGUUAUCCUAGCACAUCAAGGAAAACAUUUGAAGCGGAGUGCUAAAUGUCUCUCGGUCGAUCAUCCAGAUUUUGUUUCCUUGGCCUCACUAAGGUGAAAUCUGAGAAAGUGUUAUCUUCCUUUGCAUCUGCAUUAUCCAUCACCAUUCAUCAUGGUGGUAUGUUGUGUUGCCAGGAUCCUUGACAUGGAUAUUGGUAAAACCUUGAUGAAUAUGGAGAUGCUCAAGUUCUUGAGAGCACGCGCAAGCACUAGGUUUUAUCGUUGGCAUUAACUGGGAUUUGCUUCAUGUUUCCUCGGUUAUGUUAUAACCUUUUCAAACAGUGGACUCACUCUAGACUGUUGAGCUCUCCCCAGUUACUAGAAUCAUUCCUAGCAUUUGCAUUUUGUUCCCAGCUUGCACCGCCAUUGUGUCAUCCUACUACGGACUACCCUUCUCAGUAAUUACUGAUCAGGAUCAACUUCAAAGUGGUCCUACCACAAGUUCCAUCCAUCUCCGAUGAUAAGCAAAAAUCAUCCAUUGUGUUGUCUUCAACAAGGUAGUCCACAUCAUCCAUCCUAGUCCAAGUAUGCCAUCUCUUCAAGCUACCUCAAACGAUCAAUUGUAAAUUGCCUUAAGCUGGUAUGAAGAGUUUCAAUGAUCUCUGAAUCAAAAGUAAUUCUUUUUGCCACUUAAGGGAAUAUUUCUGCGAGUCACUUUCCUUAAGAUGUCUCGUUAUGGUAUCAUGGCAAUUUCCCUCGCUACUUUGAAACCCUCGUCAAAUUGUUUCUUCUAUCGCUCUUGAUGCAAGUUUUGCCUCUCAGCUCCAGAGAUGUUCCUAUGUCUCACUCCAUGAGUUGAUCCUGAGUUGUUCGAUCUUCGAGAAGAUCGAUCCUUCUAGAGUUUUCCCUUCCCUCUCGUUGUCAUGUUGGUUGGAGUUCUCAGAGCAAGACAUCGAGACAAUGAUGGUGAUCGAAUCAACAACCUUAUGAGAUGCAACCUGGAUCAUCAAGAUUAUGUUAGCUUGUGUUUCCCCUUCAUCUUACCUCACGUCUUGAAUCUCGGGCCGAGCUUCUUGUUUAGAGGGGGUGAGUUGUCACAUCCCUAGUUCUAUUAAUGCCUAGUGCUAGCAUCUGGUGUUGCAUCAUGUUUAAAUUUCAGUUAAACCUGAAAUGGGGAUUGCCUAAACCCUAGCACCAAAUGAAUUCAACUAGGUUCAAUAAAAAAAUAUUUUCAAUGAUCCCAAUUGCCCUUUAGAAAAGUUCAUGAUUUUUGUUAAAGGUGAAAACCUCUGCCAAAAGUCAUGCACAUAUUUCUAGGCCAUUCUGGAUUUUUGAACUAAAUCAUAUAGUAUUUGAAUUUGGGCAUUCAAAUACUAUAAAAUAAUUAAAAUGUUCAAAUAAUCCUAAACUGAAAUGUUCCAUGUUGGAUAUAUUCCAAACAGUGGCCAUGAGCAGUUUGGAGAUUUUUGAGUGUGCCUAAGUAUUUUUAAUAAAGCCCAGAACAAAAUAACAAAAUAGAAAAUAGAAAUAAAAUAGAAAUGGAGAGAGAGAACCUCACCUGGCCUCACUGUGCAGCCCACCUAGUCGGCCCAGCUGGCGGCCCAGCCAGCUGGCCAGCCCACCGAGGACAGGGGCGUCUUCUUCCUCCUGCCAGAAGGAAGAGGAGAAGACAGCCACGGCGCCGCGGCGUGCCACGCCGGCAGCUGCCUGCCUGGCUGCCCCCUCGUCGCCCUGGACUCCCUCUGCGACGCCACGCUACCCCCUGGACCCCCUUGACGCUCUCGCUCUCUCCCUCGCUCUCUGCUCCCUCUCCCAAGCACACCCGAGCGGAGCUCGUCAUUGCUGACGCAAUUUGCCGCGACCACCGCCGUCCCAAUGAUGCCCCGAGCUGUUCCCGAGCUCCUGCACCUCGUCGCCAACCUCCUCACCGACUCAUGCCACCAGGAGAGCCCCGAAGCGACGGCCUCAACGUCAUCUCCAACCACGGCUGACCGAGAUCGCCGCCGUCAAUUCGCCGUCGCAGAAGCUUCCCCGAGCCCGCUGAGUUUCUCUCCCGACCCCUUGUGAGCUCCUGCACCUUCCCUAUGCUCGCCCCCUCUCUGUUUCCCUCUGCUAGCUCGAUUCCGCUGGAGCCGAGAGCUCAUCGCCACCGUCCAUGGUGCCGCCAUCGUUUUAGCCACCAUAGCUCGUGCCUGAUCGCGUCAACGCGUUCGGUGCCUUCCCAGGAGCACGCAGCUCCCACCAGCUCCUCCUCCCGAGCACCCUAACGCCGAGCCCGCACCAACCCCGAACUCCGGCCGCCACCUUUGAGCUCGUGGCCGCCGACUCCGGCCACCCCAGGGCCGGCUACUGCCACCAGGCGACGCGCUGCAACGCCAGCUACCCGUAGAGCCCAACCGCGGCUCAAACCGCGGCCUGUACACGAAACCCGAGCAACUCCGGCGAGUUGCCGCCACGGUUUUGGUCGCCGGCAACUUAACUCCGGCCGUGCCGACGUGGCACCAUCAUUAGUGGCUAAUGACGCCACUAAACUAACCCCUAGCUCACUGACGAAUGGACCCCACACCUAAUUAACCCCGGGUUUAGUUUCUUGUUUAGAUUAGUGCUAACCCUAUGGACCCCACGUGUCAGCUUUGACUUUGGUCAAGUCAACGUUGGCCGGUCCCACUUGUCAUCCACCCAAACCAGCCUGAGACACUCACGUGUGGGUCCCAAUCAUCAGGUUUAACCUGGGCUGACGCCUUUGACCUGCUGAUGUCACGGUGACGUAAUGUUGACGCAAUAAUUCAUUUUCUGGAAUUAGUUAAUUCUAAAUAAUUCAGAAAAUUCCAAAAAAUUGCCUAAACUUCUAAAAAUCAUAGAAAUUCAACCGUAACUCCAAAUAAAAUAAAUUAUAUAUGUAAAAUUAUCAGAAAAAUUCAAGGAAUCCAUCUGUACCCUUUUCAUGCAUGUUUGAACAAUAUUUGUCCUCUGUUUUGGACAAAACAAAUACAAGGCAUUUAAAUAAACAUAUAUGGAGUUGGAAUUUGAAUCUUGUAUUCAAACCAACUUCAUUUAAAUCAUAACUAGAUGCAUUAGCUCAAAUCACAGCAUAUUGCCAUGUCAUGAUCAUGCAUCAUAUUGUCGCAUAUGCAUUGAUUGUGUUCUUCUCCUUUGCCGGUGUUUGUCCCCCUUCAGUAGACGACGUUCCGACGAUGUGUUCGAUGACACCGAUGAAAAGCUAUUACUAUCUUCAGAAGUGCCAGGCAAGCACAACCCCCUUGUUCAUUCUGAUACAAGCCCACUCUCUCGCUCCUGCUCUCUUUUACUGCAUUAGGACAACAACGAUCAUCUGUUACUUGUUGCGGUAGUUGAACCCCUUAUCCUCUGCAUGACCUGUCAUUGCCACAGUAAAUAGAUGAAACCCACUAGCAUGAGUAGGAGUUGUUUGACCCCUGAUGUGCCUACUCAUUCAUGCUUGUUUGUCAUGCCUGCUACUGCUUAGAGUUGGGUCAGGUCUGAUUCAUCAGGGAUGAAUCGGAGGUGUGUAAACAUGUCCUACUGUGUGUGAGCUAAGUGUGUGAACACGUUUUGGUAAAGGUAGCGGUGAGAGGCCAUGUAGGAGUACAUGGUGGGUUGUCUCAUUGAAACCAUUCUCAGGAACUGAGUUCUGUGUCUGUGAUCCAUGAACAGCUACUACCACUCAUUGGGAUCCUUGAUCGACCCUCUCGGCUUCUUAAUCACCCUAGUACUCUGUCCAGGAGUUGCAACUAGUUUUUGGUGUUUGUAGGUUAUGUGUUGGCGGCCGUGCAUAGCGCUGACCCUAGGGGUGGGCUAUGAUGUGGUAGAUACAUCGUGGCCGGGCAUGCCGGGCGCCCGUUUGGUGUCUCGGAACCCUGUACACAUCGUUCGGGGCCGUAUGUGGAAACCUCGGCCGGACUCCCUGCGGAUGGAACCUGGAUAGGCGAUAAACCUGGACUAGAGACUUGAGUGUUUAGGUAGGCCGUGGCCGACACCCUCGUUGGGCUUCCGCUUGAAGGUUGCCGAGUACAUGUCGUGUAAACGGCGGUAAGUGGUGAGAGCGUGUGUGAAGAAGUACACCCCUGCAGGGUUAACAUCAUCUAUUCGAAUAGCUGUGUCCGCGGUAAUGGACUUCUGGGUUGCCUAUAACAGUUCAUAGACAAGUGAAAAUGGAACUCUAAAACUCGCAAGAUAAGUGUGAGUGCUAUGGAUGGCCUUCUCGUAGGGAGACGGGAGCGGAUCCAUAGUGGUGUAUUGAAUGGUGAAUAUGUGGACUCGUGUGCGCCACCUCAAAAGAGUUGCUUGCAGUCGUAGUUCAGGUUAGCCACUGAGUCAAAGCUGGCUUGCUGUAGUUAAACUCCACCACCCCCCUUUAUUGAUACCGAUGCAUAUGUAGAUAGUUCUGAUGUAAGUCUUGCUGGGUACAUUUGUACUCACGUUUGCCUAUUUUAUGUUUUGCAGAGAGACGUCAGUCUCGCUAGUAGUUCCGUGUGGACUUCGACGUUAGCUUGAUACCUCAGCUACGAUCUUGUGCCCUCGGCAGGAUCUGGUAGAUAGUCAGGCUUCUCAGCCUUUUUCAUUUGUAGAUGUCUGUACUCAGACAUGUUAAGCUUCCGCUUGUGUUUUGACUUGUAUGCUCUGGAUGUUGGGCCAUGAGACCCAUGUUUGUAAUAUCUCGCUCCUCGGAGCCUGAUGAGUAAAUACUUGAGUCGUAGAGUCUUGUUGUGAUGCCAUGUUGUAUUUACACAUAUCGAGCAUAUUGUGUGUAUGAUUGAAAUGCUUGGUAUGUGUGGGAUCCGACAAUCUAGUUGUUUAUCCUUGGCAGCCUCUCUUAUGGGGAAAUGUAGUCUAGUGCUUCCAUGAGCCAUAGUAGUCCGCUACAGCCCAGUUCACCGGAGUCCUUCUAGCCCAGCACUACUGCUCAGGACACUUGACUAGCCGGCAUGUGUUUCACUUCGUUCCUGUGUCUGUCCCUUUGGGGAAAUGUCACGCGGUGACAUCCGGAGUCCUGCCUAGCCUGCUACAGCCCGGGUUACCGGAGUCCUGUUAGCCUAGUGCUACAGCUCGGAUUCACACGCUGCUGACCGACAUGCUCGAUGUGAUUCAUGUAUGUCUGUUCCCAUAGGUUGGUGCCGCUUUGGGUUCACGACUAGCCAUGUCGGCCCGGGUUCCCUGUCAUAUGGAUGCUAGUGACACUAUCAUAUACGUGAGCCAAAAGGCGUAAACGGUCCCGGCCAUGGUAAGGCGACACCCGUGGGAAUACCGUGCGUGAGGCCGCAAAGUGAUAUGAGGUGUUACCGGCUAGAUCAAUGUGACUUGGAAUCGGGGUCCUGACACCCCAGGUGGGCUGGUGCGCCCCGCCCCCCCCCCCACACACACACACAAGGGCCCAAGGCGCCUCCAAGAGGGAAAGGGGGCAAACCCUAGGGCAGAUGGGCCCUAAGGCCCACCCCAGGUGCGCCUCCCCCUCUCCCCCUUGUGGCCGCCACCCAGAUGGGAUCUGGGGGCUGCCGCCACCCCUAGGGAGGGAACCCUAGGUGGGGGCGCAGCCCCUCCCCUUCCCCUAUAUAUACUUGAGGUUUGGGCUGCCCAACACACAUGAGUUUCUGACCUCUCCCUGGCGCAGCCCUACCUCUCUUUCUCAUCAUAUCUCGCGGUGCUUGGCGAAGCCCUGCUGGAGUACCACGCUCCUCCACCACCACCACGCCGUUGUGCUGCUGCUGGAUGGAGCCUUCCUCAACCUCUCCCUCUCUCCUUGCUGGAUCAAGGCAUGGGAGACGUCAUCGGGCUGUACGUGUGUUGAACGCGGAGGUGCCAUCCGUUUGGCACUAGGAUCUCCGGUGAUUUGGAUCACGACGAGUAUGACUCCAUCAACCCCGUUCUCUUGAACGCUUCCGCUUAGCGAUCUACAAGGGUAUGUAGAUGCACUCUCCUUCCCCUCGUUGCUGGUUUCUCCAUAGAUAGAUCUUGGUGACACGUAGGAAAAUUUUGAAUUUCUGCUACGUUCCCCAACAGUUUGGGGGUUAAAGACUUACACAGACAAAACAUCAGUCUCCUCACCAAAUGGUGGUGGAAGCUGGAAACCCAACAAGGCCUUUGGCAGGAGAUUAUUCGUGCUAAAUACUUCAGAAAUGACAUGGUUCCCUCGGUGAAGAGUAAAUUUGGGGAUUCCCCCGUUUGGAAAGCUAUUAUGAAAGUAAAGGAAAUUUAUUUGGCAGGUAGAGAGGUGAUUUUAAACUCUGGGAAUAUAGCCAGAGUCUGGAAUGACCCCAUUAGGGGUGCUGCUCCCUUGCGUGUUAAAUUUCCGAUCUUGUUCAGUAUCUAUAAUUAUCAGGAGAUUACUGUUGCUGAAUUUAAAAAGUUUGAGGGGGGUGAUCUUUUUAGAAGGAACCUGCAUCCACCUCUUGUGGAUCAGUGGAAUGAUCUAGUUAAGGUGGUGAACUCUUGGCAAUUGUCCGAUGAGACGGACUAUAUUAGCUGGAGAUUGGGAAAAAAGAAAGGUAAAUUCUCGACCAAAUCGGUCUAUACCUAUUUGGAAAGAACCCUGGCGGGGUGUGAUUUCAUAUGGAUAUGGAAAGCAAAAAUCCCUCUUAAGAUUCAAAUCUUUCUCUGGCAAUUGUUCCAAGAUGCGGUUUUGACUCGAGAAGUCAUGAAAAAGAGAAAAUGGACAAGAAAUCCCAAAUGCUCUUUCUGCAAUGAGGUGGAAACCUCACAGCAUCUUUUAUUUACUCCACCAAGGCAAAAAAGCUUCGAGAAUGUGUUUACCUCCAUCGACGACGAACUGAUUCUACUCCACCAAGGCAAAAAAGCUUCGAGACUGUGUUUACCCGUUUGGUGGAUCGCACUCCUGCGCGAGUGUCUUUUGCUCUCCUGUGUUUUGCCUACGAGCAGGGCGUUGUAGUACUGUUAUGAUUCCUGUUGGAGUUUUCCUUGAUCUGGUUAGGUCUUGUGGUUUGCGUGAUGCUAGGUGUCACUGGGUUUUCGCCCCGCGAUGGGCUGCUCGAUGAGGAGUGCUCAUAGUGGGUUUCCGAGUGAUGCUUUGAUCUCGCCUUACCCCUUUCUUGCUUCCUUAUGCUGUAGUCGUUUAUGCUGGGUCUGUGUUCGUUGAACUUUAAACUUUGUAUUUCCGUUAUGCAAUUAAUGGAAAGGGGUUAUGGCCCGGGUCAAAAAAAAAUACAAGCGUCCUUGAGACUGCCCAACAUCACAGAUUCGUCCUUGAGAGUGCCCAACAUCACAGGUGUUUGGCAUUUGAAUCUCCCUCCAAACUUUCCCCUCCAUGUCGACUGUGGCUAUUCUCUUAUCAAGGGUAGGCAAAUGGAUAGUGCCAUUCAGGAAGACCUGGGUGUAUAUACCAUGAUUCACGAGAGGAUCUUUUGUCCACUUACUUUGCACAUGAGUCCACCCUCCAGUUUCUGUCGAGUAGAUUGACACUUUUCCGGAAUCGUUCAUACCAACCAUCUGGCUCUCGGGGGCAAACACCACAAAGCGGGAUGGAAUAGCAUGGUCGAAACCUAGGAAAGGGAUGGGAUCGGGACCUGGAAAUCCGACAGGAGGCAGCACAGUCCACUCUUGGGUAGCAGGAUUGCAGACAACAUAAUAGGAUUCAUCUCGCAGAUUAUCCGAGCAGCUGCACAGGAGAAGGCCGCCGCAGACGUGUUGGACAGAAAUGUGGCGGUACCUUUGGCGCAAGAAAGGGAGAGAGGGGUCGACAAGUGGCGGACAUCUUCCAUUCAAAUUGCGGAAAUUGAGGACACGGGCGUUCUUGUAGAAGAAGCCGGAGAGGGUCUGUUGCGACCUCUUGCGGAUGUCCGGGGCAGAGCAGAGGGCGAGCCACAGCUUGGACACGCACUUGAAGCGGCAGAGCGACCUGUAGGGCACACGCAAAAGGAUCUCGACGAGGGCGCCCUCGGGGAGGCUCGGCAUGAUCUGCUGCUCUUGCUCCAGCUUCUGCACCUGCUUCUUCUUCACAUCCUGUAAAUGAUGGAGAUGAUGACUCGUUUAGGCUCCCGAUCCCCUUUCUUGGAUCGACGACAAUUGACGGGGCCAGUCGAGGAUCUUGUUCUAAAAGAGAAAGAACAUUGCAGAAGCAUGGAGCAAACCUCGGAAGCCACCGGGACAAUGGCGAGGAGCGGCGGCGUAGAAUGGGGCAGAGCGUCUUCGUCGCGACGGACGAUGGCCGGCGGGUGGCUCUGCACCGUGCAGCCAUGCUCGCCCCCUCCUUCUCCUCCUAGCGGCAUGACCUCCUCUCCGGCUGGCGCUAGGGUUCGUGAAAUCGUGAUGGGGCGUGACUGCGAGUGGAGUGGAGUGGCCCCGCUGAUAAUGGGCUCUCCGAUUUUUUUCUUUAUUAGCUGUGGUUCUAAAGGCGGCCCAAUUGAUUCUGAUGAUUUGUUGGCCCUCUCCACUGAAUAGUCGAACAAUUUUCUUGGUUGGUUUGUUAAUCUACGAGCCGAUGAUAAAAAAAAAAUUGCAUCAGCAGAAUGUGCAUGUACUAGAUAUGUUUUGAAUUACAACUUGUUGGCACCUGUUAGUCUUGCCUAGCUUUGUAGAAGAAGAUAUCAAUAUUCAUACUAUGAAAUCAAUAUUAUUAGAUGCAUGAUGAAAUUAAUUUUCACAAUAUAUAACUUUAGUAUUGUGAUGUCGAUAUUUUUUUACUAAAAAGUUGGUCAAACUUUACAAUGCUUGACUUUGACCAAAUCUUAUAUGCAGACUAAAAAGAAACGGAGAGAGUAAUUAAACUCAUUAAGCUACGCGUGAAGGGCGACCAACCAGCUAUGCCACAUGGCGCAAACUGGUUGGGCACGGUGAGAAAUCUUUUGAAUUUUUUUAGAUGAAGAUGUGGAUUAUUUUUUAAAAUGUAUUUUUUCUUUUUAGAUGGAGGUGAGGAGCUCUGGUAUUUUUUAAAUGGAGGGUUGUGCAAAGUGGCACUCGCUGGUUGGCUGCGGUGAUAUUUUUUCCGUUUUACUUUUUUUAGAUGAAGGUGAAGAUUUUCUUUUGAGAUGUUUUUUUAGACGGAGGCGAUGACUCUAUGUAUAUUUUGUUAAAUGGAGACAUGCGCAUAGCUUUCUCUCAAGCGGCGUCACACCCCAACCACUAGUUUUACAAUAUAGUGCAACUACCUUCCGAGGGCGCACAAGGCAAAGACGCUUCUCUUGCCAUUCGGCCCGCCUCCAGGCCCUCUCUCGCACUCAGUAGGGUGCUCUCCGGCUGGUAGCCACUGUUGACUGCUGGCCAAAGAGGACUUCGACGAGUCAAAGAGGGAUGACUCAUCGGCUAACUCAGGUACAAACCCGAUGCCUUACUAAUACUUAAGUGAUUCGGUGCUAUCUGAUUAUAGUAAGAGAGAUUCUACUAUUAAGGGGAAAUUAAGAGAAAAAUGAAGAGAUGUAGACAAAUUAACACAUGGUCUCAUGAUUUUGAGGCUAGAUGUGACGGGGAAAUCCAAACUUCUUGAGUUAUCUGAUUAAUAAACAGAAGCAGAGAUUGUUGAUUGGCCAGGAGGAUAUCAAAAGGAAUGGGUACUACCCCCCCCCCCCAUUUUGAACUAUUUUGAUGAUAAUUAUGCUGAUUUUGGGAAAAUUACAUUAAUCUCCACCAGUGUUGUUGCCCUGAACAAAGGUGGAGGGGAAUUGGAGAAAUUGGGGGGGGGGCAUUAAAGAGGCUGACGAAAAUGGGUUUUGGGGGAUCAGUAGGUAGGUUUUUAGAUCAUAUUGAGGAGGAAGUGGAACUGGGAUUUAGAUGCUAUGGGCCUCCAACUUUGGAAGCUGGCCUAGUAGUGGCCCAGAAUUUAUCCACUCCUGCUAUAUAUAUGCUGGAGAGGGCGAGCUUUUAGAAACAUACAACUUCUCUAGGGUUACCCUGACAACCGCCGCCUGACUCUGCCAUGUCAGUGAACUAUGGCAACUUUCGAGGUGGAUGGAGAUUCGGUAGGGGUGGUGGAAGAGGAAAUUUCCAGUACCAACCGAAGGAUUUUGUUAACAAAGAUGAUGUGAGUUUCGUAAGAGAUCCAAUCCCCCACCCACAAAAUAAUAAUUCGGGUAGGGGUAGAGGACAGAUCGACGCAACUGUGGGUGGUGAUGGAAAUCUGAUGCCAAGAAGGUCUCAGGCAUUAGGUGGAAAUCAGUCCUGGAGAGGUAUGGUGGGUGAAAUUGAGAUAGUUGGUUCUUCUGGUGAUAAUAACAAGUAAGAACCUGAGAAGAAGAGGGAUUAGAUCUGGAUCCAGUAGUAGCAUGGUUCUUAAUUUGGCCGCAUCCCAACAACAGUAGCCCUUGGGCGCGCUGCUUUCACAAAUACCCAAGACCAUGGCUAUUAGAGAACUGGAUAUAAGUGACAGAAAUGGUGUAGGCAACAAGGGGAAGGAUCAUGUAGGUGUUGGAAAUGGUGGUGGGGAAAAUCAAAGCAACAAAGGAUCAUCACCUGGCAGUGGAAACGUGGGAGAAUCUGGAGACUUCAAACAUGAUCACGGGCUUGGUAACUCUCUGUAAGGGAAUGAGAUGAAUAAGAAGCAAGGGGGCAGAUUUUGAAAGCAAGUUUAUGGGAAAUGUAAAGAUCCCAGGCACUCUACCAGGGAAUGCAAAGUGGGGCAUUGUUUGAUUUGUGGCAAGGAUAAUCACAUCACAGAGGAGUGUAACUAGUUGUGACAGAUGAAGCCCUUGCCAAAAUACAUUGGAUAUGCCGCCAAGGGUUUACGAGUGUUCUUGGUCCAAAGUGCUAAAGAUAUUUUGUUUGCUGAUCAUAUUCAUCCACUGGCCAUUGUAUCUUUGGAAUCGAUGUACUUGAAUGAGACUGAUUUUGUACAAGAAUUUGGGGAGAUGUUUAACUGGAGAUGGAAAUGGAGAGCUAAAAGCUAUGGCCAAAUCUAUUAUCUAAUGAGGUUUCCAAACAAAGCAAGGCUGGUGGAGUUGGCUAAAUUCAAAACUUUUAACCUGUUAGGAACUGGGGUAAUGAUCAAAGUUCAAGGGUGGACACUGGAUCAUUAGGCCAUUGGCAAAUUACACACUGCUUGGGUAAAAUUUGGUAGUGUGGCUGGUUGUUUUAGGCACUUUUUUGGGAUGUGUGAAGUAGCAGGGGCUAUUGGGCCAGUGAUGGAAAUUGAAAAGGAUACCAACACACAGGAAAAAAUUAAAGCAAAAAAUUGGAGCAAGAGAUGUGGAGAAAAUCUCACCUUCCUUUGAAAUCACUUCAAAUGACGUGCUAAUUUUUAGAGUGACUUCUGAAUUGGACAAUGUGGUGGAAAUGGGUUUGUAUAAAGAGUUUAAAAGAAGUGAAUCUCCUGAAGAUGAUUUGAUGGACAUGUAUGAAAAAGAAGAUACUAGGAAAAAAGCAAGGUAGGGGAAAACACCAGAGUGCAUUUGACAUUGGGGAGCUUGUCUUUGGCCCAGCUUGAAGAGGUUAAUAAGAAAAUAAUGCAAUGAAAACCUCCAUUGAAAAUUAUUUUGGCCCCAUUCUUCAUAACCUAGCAAAAGAAUACAAACCGGCUUGAAAAGGAUAUAGAUGUAGUACUGAGAAGAGUUCAAUCUUUGGAAGAGGAAAAGACAAGGCAAGCUGCUUUGUGGGCAAUUGAGGGGAAGAAAAUGAUUUAUUUAGAAAAAUAUAAGAAGAUGCUGGAAGCUGACUUUGCUCAACAGCAAUAAAUGACACAACAGCUGAUACGAGAGGAUGAGAAAAGAGAUCAAAUGGAAUUGGAGCAUGCUAAUAUGGAUGAUGAGGAAAUUGAGGGGUAUGUGCAAGAUAAGAAAAAAGCAACUGAAUUUGAUAAAUAUGGGGAGAACAGUGAUUAUAAUGCUUGCCAAGAAUCUGCGGAAAACUUUGGACAGAAGAUGGCCGACAAACAUGGACCUGAAACUAGAGAUUUGGAGAUUGGCAAAGAAGAGGAAUUGAGAACAAGCUUCAGUAUGAAGGUGGAGGACUUGGCCAAGAACAGAGCUGAAGCAAGGGAUAAUUAUGGUAAUGAACCUAACUCCCCUCCUUCUAUAUCUCCUUUAAUGCAUAUGACAUCUUUCAUAGGAAAUGGUUUAGGAUGCACUAUUGAUAUGGUAGAGAAAAACAUUGGGAUUAUCCAAAAAUGCAGGCUGCUAGAAAAGAGUUUUAUUGGCAAAAUAUACUAACCAGAGAGAAAAAGGAAAAGGUGAGGCCAGCACUCCAAUUCAGAUUGAUAUUGGAGAUGCUAAUAUGGCUGAACUCUGUUUUGAUAAAGAACAUUCAGACGCCAAGGUAGAAGAGAAUUAUCAUGAUCAAUUGAAAAAAAUAUUUGUUGGGGAAUUUUUUUCAAGAGGGAUCACCAGCAAUUAGCUAUGUGAAACACUCAGUUGCUAUCAACUUCCUUGAAAAAUGGAGGAAGAAGACAUAAAAUUAGAGAGGCUAAAUAUUUGCCUCUUGUUUUUUGUGAAACUGUGUGUCUGUGGAUAUAUAGAUUUGGAUAAUAAUAAACCAUUUAUAUUGGAAAAAUGAAAGGUUUUUUUGGAAUGUUAGAGGAUUGGGGCAUGAUCAUAAAAAUAGAUAUGUUAAGGAUAUGAUUGUAGAACAUAAACUUGACUUUGUGGGGCUGAUGGAAACUAUAAAAACUAGGUAUUCCAAAACUGAACUCACUUUGUGUGUGGGGGGGUGGGGAGAAAUUUUGAAUGCACUUGAAAUCCACCUAGUGGGAAAUGUGGAGGUAUUCUGGUGGGUUGGAAUAAAGAUAUUUUUGACACUAUUCGUCUUGAACAUGGUGAAUAUUUUGUCAGGGUACAUGUUUUUGAUAGACAUGCAAGUUUGAAUGGAAUUUAAUCACUAUCAAUGGUGAUGCUCAAAUUGAAAGAAAAGCUAGUUUUUUAGCUGAGCUGGCUAGAGUCUAUCAUGAUAUUGCCUUGUUUGGUGGGGGGGGGGGGUUAAUAUCAUUAGAAAGAGUGAUGAGAAAAACAAACCUAACAAUCCAGAUCAUUGGAGUUUUGUGUUUAAUGUUAUUAUAGAACAUGUUGGGCUUAGGGAGAUGUCUCUAAAUGGCAUACAAUACACUUGGGCUAAUAAUCUUCCUCAUCCAACUUAUGAGAAAUUGGAUAGGGUUCUAUGUUGUCCAGAUUAGGAGGAAAAAUAACCCUUAUCCAUACUCCAGGCAUUUGCUAGGGAGGCCUUUGAUCAUACUCCACUUUAUAUUUUGACACAAGAGCCCACACAAAUACUGAACCAAUUUUCAUAUCUAAAAAUUCUUGAGUGCUUAGAGAGGGAUUUAAGGAUUUUGUGGUUAAAGUAUGGAAUGGGGAGUAUAAAGUAGAUAAUUUGGAUAGAUGGUAAGAAAGAUUCAGAAACUUGAGGAAAAAAACUAAAGGUUGGAAUGAAAAUGUGGAUGCUUGGUAUAGGAAGAUGAAGAAAGAAAUUAUUGAUAGACUUGAUGAUUUGGAAUAAAAUGCUGAAAAUAUGGGAUUAACAGCUGCAAAUAGAGAUGAACAAAAAGAGCUAAGUGCUCAAGUAUCUAGGCUUAUGUAGUAAGAAGAACUUAAAUGGCUUCGAAGAUAUAAAGAUAAAGAGAUUAAAGAUGGAUAUGGGAACACUAGAUACUACAAUGCCAAAGUGAAUGGAGAAGACGCAUAAAAUAAAAUAAUAUCUUUAGAACAAGUAGAGGGGGUGAUUGAGGGAGAGAUUGAAUUAAUGGAGUAUAUUACUAACUUCUAUAAGAGACUAUUUGGACAGCCAGACGAGUGGAACAUUAUGCUGGGAGACCUAGAUAUGCCAAAAAAUUCUGCUAUAGAAGCUGUGGAGUUGACUGCACCUUUCUCUAUGAAAGAAAUUCAUGAGGUGAUUUUUGGUAUGGAAAAAAACAAGAGCCUUGGUCCGGAUGGAUUUCCUGCUGAUUUCUAUCUAGAAUUUUGGGAUUUGAUAAAAUGGGAUCUCAAGGACAUGGUUGACGAUUUCACUUCUGGCAAAUUUGACAUCACUAGGCUUAAUUAUGAUACCCUAAUCCCAAAAACCUCAUAUGCUAAACAAAUUUAGAAAUUUAGACCAUAUGCCUCUUGAAUGUCAGUUUUAAGAUUAUUACUAAGGUUUUUCAUGAAUAGAUUGAGUAAAGUGGUCUCUCAUGUUAUUUCUCCUACUCAAACUACUUUUGUUAAAGGGAGAUUCAUUAUGGAAGGGGUUGUGGUACUUCAUGGAGCUUUAAAUAUAGUACAUUACAAAAAACAAAAUGCUCUGAUCAUCAAAGUGGACUUUUGUUAUCAAAAUGUUGAAAAUGAAAGGAUUUUUCUGAUAAAGGUGUGACUGGAUUAUGCUAACUAUGAGAAGGGGACAUGUAGGAGUUAGGGUUGAUGAUCAAAUUGGGCCUUAUUUCAAAACCUUUAAAGGCCUUAGACAAGGGGACUCUAUGUCCCCCUUGUUGUUUGACCUUGCUGAUUAUGCUUUAGCUCUGAUCGUGGAUAAAGCAAAGAAUGAGGGGGGUUGUUAAGGGGGUGCUUGGUACUCAGUGUAACAUGGGGAUAAACAUGCUACAAUAUGAUGAUGACACUAUUUUCUUACUUCAGGAUGAUCUUGAUGAUGCAAAAAAAAUUGGAGUUCAUUAUUUGUGCUUUUGAGCAAAUGUCUGGGCUUACUAUUAAUUUUCAUAAAAGUGAACGGUUCCUUUUUGGAGAGGAAAAUAAUAAAAGACAGACAUAUCAGGAAUUUUUCACUUGUGGCAUGGGAUCUCUCCCUAUGAAGUAUCUAGGGAUGCCAGUGUCACACACUAGAAUUAGAAAAAGACACUGGUCUGGGUAGUUGAAAAAAAUGAGAAAAGAUGUGAGUGAUGGCAAGGUAGACUCCUAGGAUCUAUUGCUGGGAGAAUAACCUUGGUGCAGGCCUGCUUGUCCAAUAUACCUCUUUUUUAUGAUGUCGUUUUACCCCAUUCCUGCUGGGGUACUUAAGAAAGUAGACUCUUAUAGAGCUAGAUUGGUUUGGCAAGAAGACGAAGAUAAGAAGAAAUAUCAUUUGGUAAACUGGAAGACCUGUUGCAAACCCAAAGACUUGGGAGGUUUGGGUAUUUUAAAUUUAAACAUUAUGAAUAAAGAUUUACUUGUGAAAUGGUUUCGGAAUUUGGAAAUGGAGGAAGGACUUUGGCAGCCAGUCCUCUAGGACAAAUAUGUAACUGAUGGAUGCUUAUCCAGGACACAACAUAAAAAUGGAGAUUCACAAUUUUGGACUAAUACUAUUAAGGUCAAAGAGAUAUUUGACAGAUUUUGUAGGAAAAUUUUGGGGGAUGGCAAAAACACAAGGUUCUGGGAAAGACAUAUGGGUAGAUGAUAAACCUCUGAAAGAGGCAUAUCCAAGGCUAUAUAUGCUUAGUUUUGAACACAAUAUCAAUGUGUCUGAAGCCUUGGAGAACGAGUGGAGAUGAUUUAAAUUUAGAAGAACACUAUAUGAGGAAACCAUGGAAUUGUGGAAAAGCCUAGGAAGAAGAUGUGAGGAGGUUAAUAUGGGAAGAGGUAGAGAUCAGGUGGAGUGCAUGCUAACUCCGGAUAAACAAUUUAUUCUCAAGUCCUUAUAUAGACUAGAGAUAUUUUUAGAAGACCUUUUUAUGCUAAAAAAACAGAUGAUCCACACAUAAUCAUAUCAAAUCUUCAAAAUGCAUUAAAACGGAGCAUCGAUGGAUAACAAACUAUAGACUGGAGAUAUUUACUUGCAUAAAACAAAUGGAAAUGAAGAGGUGAAAAUAACGCAGAUAAUGUACUCUCAGUGACUUAUAUUAGCCACAUCAGGCCCAAACGACUGGCCACAAUAACUAGUGCUACAUGACAGCAAACAGAUGAAAUGGCUAGGUGGAUUCUUACAACUAACUAGUACACUCACCCUUACAAAGUUUGGCUAACAACAUUGUUCAAAGCAACAAAGGCAUAUGCACCGAACUCAAGACUGUAGACAUAGGAGUUGGGACUUCUCCACGCAAUGCCAGGAAAUUAGGAGAGUAGGCCCAUGUCAACCACUAAUUUCAGCAAAAGGUGUUGUCCCAUGCUGAGCACGUAAUGUAGCACUGGAUCUCAGUGACCAGCUGAGGGCAAUUCCGCAAAACAGGGAGUAUAAGGCAAACCAUUCAUGCCUUUGGCGCAGAUAACAUGCACUUUUUGAUUAUCCAUGUCAUACGACAAUGUCAUGUUCUUCUUGUCGGUAAGAAAAAUCACGUUGCAAUCCGGAUGAAUUGCAAACAUCGCAUAAGAAUCUCCAUGUUUACGGCAAUUCCUUCCAAACAACUCCAAAACCUUAAAAGUGUGCUUUAGGGUCCACUUUCCAGUAUCAUAAUCCUCAAGGACCCAAAUAUAGAGUUGGCAAUCAUAAAAAUUAUCUGUCUUCCACGCAUACAGGCGUCCUUGAGACUGCCCAACAUCACAUAUGUUUGGCAAGUCAUUUGGCAUUUGAAUCUCCCUCCAAACUUUCCCCUCCACGUCGACUGUGGCCAUUAUGUUAUCAAUGGAAGGCAGAUGGAUAGUGUCAUUAAGGAAGACCUGUGUGUCUCUACCAUGAUCCACGAGAGGCUCUCUUGUCCACCUACUUUGCACAUGAGUCCACCGUCCAGUUUCUGACGAGUAGAUUGCCACUUCUCCGGAACCGUCCACACCAAACAUAUUGGGCUGGGGCGCAAACACCACAAAGCGGGAUGGAACAGCAGGGUCAAAACCUAAGAAAGCGAUUGGAUCAGGACCUGGAAAUCCGACAGGAGGCAGCACAGUCCACUCCUCGGUCGCAGGAUUGCAGACAAGAUAACAGGCUUCGCCUAGAAGAUUAUUCGAGCAGCUGCAGAGGAGGAGUCCGCCGCAGACCUGUUGGACAAUAAUGUAGAGGUACCUUUUGCCAAAGAAAGAGAGUGAAGGGUCGACCAGAGGCGGGCCUCUCCCAUUCAAAUUGCAGAAACUGAAACCUUCGCCUUCAUCCUGGUAAAAGAAGCCAGAGAGGGUCUGUGGCGACCUCUUGCGGAUGUCAGGGGCGGAGCAGAGGGCGAGCCACGGCUUGGACACGCACUUGAAGCGGCAGAGGGACCUGUAGGGCACUCGCGAAAGGAUCUCCACGAGGCCGCCCUCGGGGAGGCUUGGCGCAGGCUGCUGCUCCUGCUCCCGCUCCAGCUUCUGCUUCUUCUCCUGUAUAAAUGAUAACGGCUGGUUUAGGUUCCCGAUUCCUUCUCUUGGAUAACGGCUGCUUCUUCUCCUGCUCCAAGAUUGGAAGGCCCUUGUUAAACAAAAGGAAGACUGGAGCAGCGCGAGCGAACCUCGGAAGCUACCGGAGCAAUGUCGGGGAGCAGCAGCGUAGAAUGAGACGGAGCGUCGUCGUCGCGGCGGACGGUCGCCGUCGGCUGACCCUGCAGCGCACAGCCAUGCUCGCCUCCACCUCCUCCUCCUGGCGGCAUCGCCUCCUCUUCGGCUCGCGGAUCAGUGGCUCGAGGCAGUCGAAUCGACCGUGGCGGCGCUGGCUGCCGCUGCUCGCCGGGGCUAGGGUUCGUGAGGGGGAAUGGGGCGGCGGCUGUUAUGGGAGCGUGCGUGAGUGCGAGUGCAGUGGUUGAUUUGUUACUCUGCUGACAAUAGACGGCCCAAUGGACCCUGAUAAUUUGUUGGCCCACUCCGCUGAAUAAUAAUCGAAUAAUUUCCUUGGUGCCUCUAAAAAAAAGAAGAACCCAAGCCACGCUGCUUGCUGCUCUGCUUCUUAUUCUAUCCUAGUGUUGCAAUUUGUACUGAACUUAGUGUUGUGUUUUAUGAUAUAGCCAUUAGAAAUAUUUUGGUAGAGCAGUCUCUCAAGUGAUUUGAUAGAAAAUGAUGAUUGUAAAGAGCAUGGACUGAAAACAUCGUGUGUCAUGUCAUGAGGUUCAGACUUGGGACUUCCAAGGGAUAUGCCUCUGAUAAGCACUAAGCUGAUUAUAUAUUGUACUUAUAUCAUGAUUUGCAUUGAAAGGGUAGAAAAAAAAACAUAAGAUUGUAUGGUUUCUUUCAGAAAACUGAAGCCAUCAUGUUGUACUGCUCAGAAAUAAAACCUACACGACUAGAAGGCACAAUGGAAGGAAUUGAAGAAGCAUCCGCGGCUCAUCAGGCAAAAGGUAAGCAGUUUUCUCUCCGAGUAAACAUUUUUCUCUGGCUGCUUUCAUCAAGGACAGGUUCGGCCAGCUUGACACACUAGUACCGGGUGGCUCAAAUUUUCAAAUGAAAAUUUGAAUAUGCAAUUAACUUAUCGUACAUAAGCCAAUUCGAAUGAAAAUCAUGAUUUGAAGUGAUGUGUGAGAUCAACCUGAAGUGAAGUGAUGUGUAAACAAGGAGCGCUAUCCAACAACUGCUGGAUGUAUCACACACUGCACACUGGACUAAAAUUUCAACGCCACACCAAGUGAAGAUUGAUUGUAGUAACUGAACCCCAUCUUAAUGCCAGAACAGGCGCCUGUCAUGCUGUAAUUUCACAGAUUCAGCAAGAACUAAACCUUCAACCAACAAAGCCAUGAUAGGAAAACCAACCUUAUCUUCAGAUUCACGCAACAAAUAUUUCUACUUACUAAAGAGUUUACAGGAUCCGGUUUUGUGCGGUCCUCGUUUCCAACAGUCAAUGCGACAUGUUCCGGUGUACACUUGCAGCACUUGGCAUGGGAAAUAGCAUCCAGAACAGGUGCCUGGAAUGCUGUAAUGCCAUCCUAUAGCAGCUACACAAAAGUUAGAGGCCUGUCAAAUAUUUCUACUUACAAAGACUCUGCAGAAUAUGGUCCGUGGUCCUCAUUUCGGACAGUCAGUGCACCAUGUUUAGUGUACAACACUUGAAAGGAGAAAUAAUAAAUAUCUGCUAUAUGUAACAUAUCCAUUGUGGUGAUUAUUAUAAAAAACAUUGUCGUGCUCAGCUUCCCAUAAAGAGCAGGCCUCUAAACCAAUGUUAAGCAACCAAAAACUUCAACACUCUAGUCAGGUUUCAGGAGGAGAAUGAUGAACUAUAUUAGACAGCAAGAAUUCAAAGCACACUGGGAAGCAUAUGUAAAAAAAAAAAUGGAUGGUGAACUUGUACCCAUGUUACCCCAGUCUUGCAACAAAGAUGGUAGUCUCAGACUAUAAGUGACUGCUUCCCCACAAAAGGUCAUAUUCCCCUGAGCAAAAACAUAUGAAAGAACUGUCUUCCAGGCCAGUUUAGCUGCACAAAUUUCUAGACACCACCAAUGGAACAUGGAAGUCCACGUGGGUUACAUAAAAGAAACUAAUAUGUCUUUACCCUACAAGUAUAUGGUGCAAUAUAGAAGAGACAAUCCACAGAUAAUCUUCUCAAAUCUUACAAAAUGCUGCAUAGAAACAGAGCUAGCACCGAUGGAUACAUAAAAGUAUAUGGUGCAAUAUAGAAGAGACAAUCCACAGAUAAUCUUCUCAAAUCUUACAAGAUGCAUAGAAACAGAGCUAGCGCCGAUGGAUAACAAGCUAUAGAUUGCAGAUAUUCACUUGCAUAGACAAGUGAAAAUAAGGAGGUGAAAAUGCAAACAAUGUCAAACAUUGAUAAUGUACUCUCACUGAGUGUCUUAUAUUAUCAUCCCACAUCAACAGUUAACGAGUGGCCACAAUAAUUUAGUACUACAUGAAAGCAAAAUAGAUUAAAGGACUAGGUUCAUUCAUACAACUACUUAUUACUCUUACAAAGUCUUGGCUAACAAAGAUUGUUCAAAGCAACAAAGGCAUGAACCUGAACACCAACAGAUAGGAUAGGAACACCACACUGUAGAUAUAGGAGUUUGUUCAUCUCUACGCAAUGGCACGAAAUUAAUUAGGAGAGUCGGUCCAUGCAACCACUAAUUUUCGCAAAAGGUGUUGUCUCAUAUGGUGAUGCUGCAGUGAAUCUCAA